rnacentral:lncRNA from 1 species
CGACUUGAGGUUUCUUAACCAAUCCAGCUGCAGCACCUUCAGGCUAGGGAAUGCCUCCCGGCAGAAACUGAAACGGACCUCUUCACCAACGAACGAGUUAGACAAUAGACGUAGGGUGGCCAGGUUUGGUAGACUCCCAAGGACGUGUAUGGCUGCAUCAUGCUCAGAUAUCCUCGACCCCAAUAGCUUCAGCUUCACUAGAUUUUUUAGGCCCUUGAUCCACUCCGGCAGUUUAACAAGCUUACCUUUCAACUUGAGGCUCUGCAGGUGUUCUGGAGGUAAUGACAGGCCAUCCAAGCAGCCUCGUAAACCUGUCUCUCCGGAUGACUGGAGUGACAAUGACUCCAGGCUGCUGAGACGAGCAAUUGCUGAACACAACUCUUGACCAUUUCUCUUGCUGAUGCCAAUCACUCCUAACUUGCGCAACCGGGUGAGCUUUCUUAUAUCUUGUAGAACAACCUUCCCCACUGAGACGUCCACAGUACGCAGUGUGUGCAGGGCCUUCAGCUUCCAAAUCCCUCUUGGUACUUCAACACCACCUGGAUUUCGUCCUCCUGCCGCAUAAUAAGGUAAUACGCUGCAACAGAAUGCAGUGCAUACAUCACGCCUGCUAAUUGGUGCUUUAUCCCCAACUACACUAUUCUCUGUGAGACGAUUAGGUGCACAACAUGCAAGACAACAAAUCGCAGACUGUGAAGGCAAACUCAUUAGCGACUGAUUAUCUGCAUGUACAUAUAUAUCAUAAUGUCUCCUUCCUACGUUGCUAGCAAGAAUUCGUUGCAUCUUCACAAGCUUGGUGAUGGUCCUUGGUAGCUUCAUUAUGCUUGUAGCUGAAAUAUCUAGUGUCUGAAGUUGUCUCAGGUUCCCCAACGAAUUUGGCAGGUGAAAUAUGCUAUUAUGACCCCUCAGAGAGAGAUAUUUUAGGUGUACAAGUUUCCCAAUAUGCUGAAGGUGAUGAUCAACGAGACCGCUUGCGUCUUCCAAAUCCAGCACUCGUAGCAACCUCAUCUUUUCAGAAAUGUAAAAUGACCUCCAAUUUCCAAACACUGUCAGUGAUCGUACAUGGGACAAGUCUACUAUAUUCUCAAACUCACACAGGUCCCCCUUCCAAUUGCUGCNUGCUUGUUCAGCCAUCUCAGGAUAUUGCUCAUCCAAAUUUACGGUCUCCUUAAAUACCUGAAAUCCAAAUCAAUCAAGUCAUUUAGUACAAGAAGAAAGAAAGCAUAUAUGCACCUUUGUCUAACAUAUUAUUUUAUAUGGGAAUAUGUACUACAAAGAUGUAAAAGGGAGACAAUGCUACUUUUUGUUGGAUAAUAAGUUUCUCCACCGUCCAUUUUUUUAUUUUGUAUAUCUUCAUUUCUGUUCCUAUACCUGCAUUGCACUUUCCCAUCAUGCUUCUACUUCUAAAGCUACACCUCGUCUCAGUGCUAAUUGUUAUUCUUGCUACUGAUUUCAUUGGACAUCAGUUACCUCACAUAGCUACAGAAGUAGGCAUUAACUUGAUAUGAUUGGGCCUUUUAGUUAAUGGUUUGUAUUUGUCAUAAUCAUAAUGCCUGAAUGUUGUUACUACAUGGGAACCUAAGGAAACAAGUGCUGGGACGACAUAUACAGUUGCAUAUGCACAGAAUAAUUCUGGAGGCAUUCAAGGAGAGAGCGCCAUAACAACAAACAUACCCAAUAAAGUGUGAACUAUUGGAUUUCUUAGAAAACAAUCCAGCCGCUGUGUUGCUCCCAGUUUAAUGCGGGCGACUCAGGUGGGACUCCGCCCAGCUAGGUUUAGGGUUCCCUUCUACACCUCACCCCGCCUGCAAUCGCAUUGUGCGCUCCUGCCACUGGAUCCGGAUCUUUUCUGAUCUGGUAAACCAGGGAGGGGUGUGGCAGGGCUUGGGCACCGAGGCAGCGGCCCUUGGUGGUGAGCGUUCUGCAAUAGUGAUGUCCGGUUGCUCUGGCUUUGAGGGCGGAGGGGCGGUUGUGAGGCGUUGGCUCAAGACAAGUUGUGCGUUUUUUGUGGUCGGACCGGGCUGGCAGCAGAGGGGGCGAUAGGAGUGAAGAAGUGUAGUUGACGGUGGACUUCCUCUGCAGCAGGGGCUUGCCGACUUGUUGGCAUCGUCUCCGGGAGCAUGGAAGUUCUGCAGGGUAACUGAGGCCUGCCUGACUGCCUGCUCACUGUGCAUGUCCAUUGGAUACUCCAAGCUUUCUAGAUUAUCUUUUGCUGGCAUCUUGGCAUCAUCAUUUGUUGGACAUGCUGCUGGGCAGAGGGUGAAAACCCAAGCCCGAGUCUUCUGGGCCGAGAAUUAGUGGCAGACUUCCUUCUUCUUGAAGACGCCGCCUUGCUGCUUCAGAGGACCUUCUCAUCGGUGGUUGUGGUGUGGUGGCUGCAGUGUGCUGUGGUUCUGUAGGCUAGCUGCAAGGCGGUAGUCGUCUGGCUAUGGUGUGAUCUGCUGUGCUUGGUGGCCCGAAGCGCUGGGAGGCAAGGGCUUUUCUACGGUGUCCAUUGACUAGGCACACAACUAGCUCGGGCAGCCCUGAAAUUUCAGAGGAGCUUCAUAUGAAACAUUUUAAUUUCUCCACAAUGCAAGAAAAAGUAUCCCACAUGCUGAAGCAUGCCAAUAUUUUAGAUGAUAUAUUUGAGUUGUUAGCCAUUCAUGAGUUUCAAAGAAAAUAAUUUUUCCCAUCUGAUCAGAUGUACUGCCAGCUACUAGAAUUCCUAGUCCAAUGAAAUAGAUUAUCUCAUUAUAUACUUGUAUGAUAUUCUGUCCGAUCAACACUAUUGUAGUAAACUAGAGAUAUAUGCUAUCCGAUAGAAGUUAAUAGCAAUGCUGCCAUGCUACAAGCAAAUGUUGUUACAUUACACAUAAUCAUAUUGCAGGACCUCCCUUUUUCUCUUAAGUAACUAUGUUGUUCAGUUAAGGAUCGUUUCAAUUCAUGUAGUUUAAAUACCUCCCUUCUAAUUAUGUUGUUAGCAUGGCAGGAGAUACGGAAAUAAACUCGAUUUCAAGAAAUAAAAAUAUCGGAAUGCUCCAAUGUAUCAAUUUGUACUUUAAAGAGGCAUGGUUUCCUUUUAUUUAAAUACAUAAAUACAGUUAUAGUUUUUCAUUAUAACUUGUACUAUUUGCAGACUUUUCUAGAAACUCCCAUAUAUACGUGAGAAAAAGGCAAACCACAAACCAUCUAAGUCCACAUUGACUUAUCAUAUGCAAAUCUGGAAGAACUAAUUAAGUGACUUGAUUUAAAGAUAACUGGGCCAGAGACAAAGUCGACGAGAGAGUAUGAGGGUGGCUAAAGAUUCUUAUGAGCAAAUUGAAUAUUUUUCUAUUAUUAUUGAAGCAUGUUUUUAAUUGCAGUACAUCUGGGUGGAUAAAAAUGCUAAAACAACAACUUCAUUAACGAGGGGAAAAUGCCUAUGCACACCUAUUUGUAUCUUAUAAGAACAUGUUGUACCUUUAUUUCUGCCUCUACUAACUUAUUUUUCUUUGAUAGAAAAAGAGGCAUAUCAUACUUCAUUUGACAGCUACAAAAUCCACAAUCAUUUGGUUGGACCGAACUAUAAGUAAAUAGUUUUUUUAAAGAUCCAGCAUGUUGCUGGCAUUUAAAUGAUUUAGCAGAAGGAACUAAACAGACUAUUAUGUCUCCACCUUAUUGUAAUCGUAGUUUAUGUAUUCUGUAGUCCUUCGUAUUUAUAUUUAUUAUUCUAGCUAUUGCGCAAGAUUUCUAACAAAUGCCAAUUCAAAUUUUCUAGUGGGCAAAUUGAUUUUAUAAUUCUGUUAUACGUGCUCGUAAAGAUAUCGUUUGUGAAGUUUAAAGCAAUAAUAUAAAUAAGAAGGAAAGGAUUAACAGAACAACUAAUUGAGCAUGACACUACUUCAUUUUUACCUUUUUGGUGAAGAGGGUGCAUGCGUCAUCAGGGCCCAGUUGGUUCAGCUUGUAUAGGUUUAAAUCAUCCUUUGAGCAGUGCUUGGCAAUAUUCUCUUCCCUUGUGGUGACUAUUACGCAGCUUGCUGCCGUUUCUGGCAAAUACAUUUUUAUAGCAUUCCACUCUCCAAUGGACCACAGAUCAUCAAGAACAAGCAAAUAUCUCUUUCCUUCUAAACAUCCCCUUAAAUCUCUCUCAUUGUUAUCUAUGAAUUGCAUAGUUAAGCUCUCAAGGAUUGUUUCUGAACUGAAAGGACGCAUGACUGUAACACAAGCACGCUUAUCAAACAUGCUACUAAUCUCUUGGCUUUGAUAGAUAUCUCUCACUAGUGUGGUUUUUCCAAUACCACCCAUUCCCCAUAAGGAGAUCACAUGAAAUUGCUGCAGAUCUCUAUUUCUGAUCUGUUUGAUGAUUUCUUCUUUAUCAUUCCCUCUCCCAAUGAGACGAGAUUCCUCUAGAGUAGCUAUUGCCUCUGUGCGAGUGAUAAUGUUCUUGUGUGCAGAGCUGUCAACCUAAACACAAGCACACGAUUAAUAAUUUGAUAUUGACUUCGUUUCCACUAGCACAUAUUACUAUCACAAUUCUGAAGUAAACUUUCCUUAAAUUUGGAAAGGUUCAAACCAUUAAACUAAUGGAACCGUUAAUGGUGUCCCUAGAACUCAUUCAUGCAUAACUCUGAGGUAUACUCCGGGGAGUAUGUACUCUCAUGCCUCACGUAACAUUUUUAUGCUAAGGUAGCAUGAUGGCCAGCAAGAGAAGCUCGCCACCUUUAGUGUCCAAGCAGCCCGCUGCCACUUCUGGCGGAGGCAUGUAUGGCGAAGGUGAUGGAUUCAGAAGUGUAAGAUUUUCACUUCCGGUACAUGAUGCCCUGCCUAGUAACUAAAGAAAAAUGUAAUCUAACAAAACAAUAAAUUCGGCUAAUCAGGUUAGUUGCUGAAAAAUAAUGUGCCAACAGAAAAUUAAGGGUAAGGCGAGGUUAGGUCAAUUGGCCAGCCUAGUGUGGGACGGCCAUGUUCCUUUCCGUAUGUCCUUUUGUGUGACCUGAGAUAAGGAUGCACUUGAGCGUCAUAUAACCCAACACGCUUGGCAUGAGCUGUUUAAAUGAGGCCACUAAUAUUAGAGCAGAUGGCAUUCUUUACAGUGGAUCGUGAAUCGCACUCGAGGAGAUUCUCUCAUUUUGUGGACGCAAGAAUCUGGGGCAACUAGGAUGCAAAAUGCAGAUACGUCCUUCUGUGCAACACUCUGGAGACAGAAUAGCAAAGCUUCUAGUUAUAUUCUAUGACCUACAUCAUCUCUCCAGUAGCAGUCUACACAGUUCUAGCCACCAGCAAUGGCACGAGUGGUCCUCUCUUAUGCCAAUUCUAAUUUUGGUUUGGCACCAUAGUUUGCUUGCUCUCGUUGGUGCCGAAGAAGAUGGAAAUAAUAUAAUUUAUGGAAGAAGUGAUUGUUUCUGACCAGUGGCCCCUAGAUAAGUACAGUAAGCCAAAUAACUCCAUGCAAGAGUUGAGGACUUGAGCUAGGAAACGAAUUGAGUAUACGGUAUAGUUGUAACCUCUCGAAUUAUUUGCAUGGUUAAGAAUGGAUAAGUCUAAGAAAGAGAACAAGCAACCGGAUGAUGGGGAAGGGAGGGGGGAUGAACAAACAUCAAAUGGAGUCCAUUUUGCACAUAGGGCAUGGUACAUUAAGGUUACUAUGGGCCUGUUCGGAACUCCUCCUGCUCCGUGAACUCCACAAGCGGAGCCUGGACAAACACCACAGCGCAAAGCCGGCGUGUGAGUUCCAAACAGGCCCUAUAUAUCUCAUCUCGCGUCGCCUCCCGUGGGCGAUGCCAGGGGAACCAAACCCUAGCUCCGCCAGGUCCCUCCCGUCUCCUCUCCUGCCACCGUUGUUGCCGGCCUAGUCCAUAGUGGCGGCGGGCCCGAUGCCAAAGCGAUAGGGUGGGUGGUGUGUUGCGGGAUAUCCUGGAGGUGGCAGGGUGACUCUGGCGUUGGAUCCGCCAGCAGCAGGUAGGGUGGUGCCCCUUGCCUGUGCGGCGGCAGCCAGAUCCAUAGUCGACAUGGUGCUCUUCCCUUCGGUGGAGUAUAUGCUUGGAGAUGGGUGGACGAAAGCAGCGGAUCUGGCAUCCCGUCCAGAUCCGCCCGGCUUGGUUUGUUCCAACCGGCGGCGCGUGGAGGACCGGUGAGGGGCGGCUGGAGGCUCCCUGCCGCCAUGCCGACGACGGCUUUAAUCUUCAUGGCGAGGCUCCGUACAGUUCCAGUCAGGUGCGAGAUCGGGGGGCCGUGACUUCCGGUGAAAAUCGUGCCGACUAUGGUCAUGACGGACGAUGGCGACGUCUGUGACGUCGUUCCCUUCUCAAGGCAUCGUUGUUGCAGGUCGAGGCACCCCACUCAUGAUGCUAUGGGGGAAACCCUGGAUCUGGGUCUAUCGGAUCAGACGGUGAUGGCACCUACGAUGCUGUUGUCCCUCCUAGAGGCAUCGUUUUGGAGCAAGUGCUAGCUGGAGGGGACAAGAGGAGGAGCGGUGUUACAUCUACCGCAAGGCCGACGGCGGAUCCCGGCGGCAUGGCGCCACGGAGGUUCGGCGACGGGCGCGUGUGGACGGAUACGUGCAGGAUGUUGGCGUUGUCUAGCGCCGUGGUGGCAUCGACGACAGGCCAGGCAAGGUCGAUGAGACAGUUCCUGCACCGGAGAUGGACCGGUGGAAAGAUGGCGCGGGCAGCCUCUCAGAGUGUGUCGGUCCAGUUUGUGACCCAAUGCCAGUACAUGCCUGGGCUGGGGCAUCUGGCUUUAGAUGUUAGGUUUUGGUACAAUGUUUGUUUGGUAUUUGACUCGGAUAUUCGGCACCCCUUCAUCAAAGGGAUAAGAGUAGCAACAGGUGUUGCCUAGAUGGUGGCUUCAGGCUUACUGAUGCAUUACUUUGUAUGGUCUUUAUGAAUAAUUAAUUAAAUGGCCGCAGGCGUCAUCCAGAUGCAAAGGCCCGGGGUAUAUACUCUUUUUCCAAAAAAAACUUGGUUGUAUCAUACUCCCUCCGUUUCUUUUUACUCUGCGUAUAAGAUUUGGUCAAAGUCAAACAACAUAAAGUUUGACUAAAUUUAUAUCAAAAAAUAUGAAUAUCUACUAUAUUAAAAUUAUAUAGUAUGAAAAUAAAUCUCGUGGUGCAUCUGAUAACAUUGAUUUCAUAUUGUGAAUGUUGAUAUUUUUUAAUAUAAAGUUAGUCAAACUUUACAAAGCUUGACUUUGACCAAACCUUGUAUGCAGACUAAAAAGAAACGGAGGGAGUAAGUGGAAUGUAUAUAAAUCCUAGUGAAAACUUCCAUGCAAAUAAUUAUAAGUCGAAUGUAUAUGUGGAUAAGUGUGGUUAUCCUAUUAACGUAUAUAAGUGGAGUUCAGAUUAUUUCACAUGGAAGAGGAAACAAUAUAAUUAUUUUUUAACUAAUCUGUAUAGAAUGAUUAUUAACCUAAAACUUCCAGUGCAACACAAUCUAGUUAAUUAUGUUAACUAUUAGUUGAGAUACUGAAAAGAAAAUAACAACAAACAAUUUUCAGGACUUCAGAUAUUACCUUCUUGUAGAAAGCAUAAAGAGACCGAUCAGAAAAUAGCUUCUUACGCACAAGAGCUUCAUCCUCUGCUCCCAUGCAUAAGCUUGCAACUUCAACCUGCUCAGUGAAUACUAUGAUUCGGCUUCCUUUCUUGUUGUCUGGGAAACAUGUUUUGAUGCAAUCCCACUCUCCCAUGGUGUGUAUUUCUUUGAUUACAAUUAGAUAACUCUUGUCAUUCAAAUAUCUCUUGAACACAUGAGCCAAACCAUCAUCUUCUUUCGGCGUCACCAUCGUCUUCAAAACUUGGGCCCCAAUGGUUGUUUUUCCUCCUUCUCCUGUCUCUUGAAAAGAAUUAUCGUAUAUUUGCCUAACAAUACUUUGAAUGAAAUCUGUCUGAUUGAACGGACACAUCAAUGUGAUGCAGGCACAACAAUCGAAAUUGUUUUGUAUCAUGGGAUCUUCGUAGAUAUUUUUUAUAAUGGAUAACUCCCCGGAAUCAGUGCUACUUCUGCCCCACAACGCUAUCACUCGGAGUGCAUCAUCCCCGCAAUUGAUCAACUUGACAAGAUCCACUUUUGCUUUAUGCCGACGCAGCCUUGCAUCGUCGGCGGCAGACAUGGUCGCACUGGAGAUGGUAGGCUGCCCAACAACGGAGGUAGGCUUGGAGCUAGAGCCCUUGAUGAGGUGGUAGCGUUGGUUCCUCUGGCUGACCUCCUCCACCUCAGCUCUGAGGUCCUUCAUCAGGUUUGCCACAUAACGCCGAGCUAGCAGCUUGCGAGAGAGACACCACCAAGACUGCUUCUCCAGACGGACAGCAAUAUCCAGGAGGCAGUCCUCGACAGAGUAGGACACGUCCCGGACUUGUUUCACCCAAGUCCUGACCACACUGUUGUCGUCUCGGUCGUUGUGCGCAGCCAUCAGGAAUGACUGCAUCAUCUCGAGUUCGCCCUUGAUGAAGGAUUGGUCACGCUGGACACCAAGCUGCAGAGCAACCUCCUCGGCCACAGCCGACUGGGCGUAGUUGAGCGCGCCGCUCAACACGGACUUGCCGAUGCUGAUGGCCGUCGCCUCCAUUUUUUUUUUUACUUUCAAUCAAUUGGUUUUUACGGAUAGAGGUUGUACUGCAAGCAAACAAGAUGAAUUGGAUCGAUCCGUGUUAAUGGCUGCGCUUGAGUUAAAUCUGAAGAGGCAAAUAACAAUAACAAAGAGGAAACAGAGCAUACCAGCUGGUGUUGUGGACGGCAGCCUCGUGAGAGACCAAAACGGGGUUGAAAUCCAAGGCCGUGAAUGCAGCCUCAACACCAACCGACCAAACUUGAGAGAUCUGUCGGGCGAAGCAUAAAGAUAAUUUAUUACAAACUAAUUAGCAAACUAUCCACUAGAGCAGAGCGUGCUAAGAAAGGUAAUUUACGAUUCAGGAAGUAUAAUUAACAGAUGGCGACAUGUACCGGUUAAGAUGAACGGGGACGCGUGAUUCAGAGGAUAGAUCCAGCAGCAGAGCAGACUAGAGGGCAAUAGAAAUUACCAGCCCAGGAAGAAGGGAUGCCCGUCCGCCGUGGCCUCAGAUGGGGAAGGAAGGAGGCACGGUGGGGGAAAGGAUUCGAGAUAAAGCCGGGCCAUGGAGUGAGAUCCCUUUUCUUCUUGGCGCUUCCUCCGUCCUCCCGGAAGAAUCGAAGACGAGGAGGGGGAAAGAACAAAGAAGCUUCAUUUCUUGUUGCCGCAGCAUACGCAUCAUCAUGGACGCUGGAUUGCUCCCUUGGUAAGGACGGAUUCGAUUCUUCCGGUCCAUUCUCCACGGCCUUGAGGAGGAGACGGAUUGAUUGGAUUGGAUUCCAAUGGAAUUGCAGCCUGGGAGCAGCUCUGCAAUGGCGUGGAGCAGCAGCAAGAAAUCACAAUCGCCGGCGGCGGAGGGGAGGCUUGUUCGGUUGGGCCGGUCUCCACACAACAGAUUCCAGCCACAAAAUUGGUCCAGUGUUAUUAGGGAGCACGUCACUCGGAGCGUUCUUAAACCGCCUCCACCUGGCUCGCUCUCAGUGUCCUCUCCGAUUUGUUUUCGCACACGUUUCUGUCUUUUUAGUUUGGGUUUUUUCGGGGUUUUUUAUGUUUUGGUUUUUCAUCGGUGUUUUUUAGCUUUUGGAUCAAAAAAAUUACGUUAAAAAAACGUUUUUUAUGAGAGAUAUGGUUUUGCUUUCGCGAGAGCCACGUCCGUGCCUUUCAGAAAGGAAAAAUACAUGUUUUCUAAUUUUUUUUUGCGGGAGGGAUGGCCGUGACUUUUGAAAAGGGAAAACAUGUUUUUUUUUGUUUUUUGCGAGAGGUACGGUUUUGCUUUAACGAGAGGCAUGGUUUUUCUAUCACGAGAAGCACGGCCAUGCCUCUCGAGAAGGGAAAAAAGAUGUUUCUAUUUUUUUUCUUUUCACGAGAGACAUAAUUUUGCAAAUGAUACGAAGAAUUUUAUAGAAUAUAUUUUUAAGUGAUACUAAGAAUUUUAUACUAUGUUACAAACAUUUCUCUAACUGUGUGAACAAAUUUUAAAUUUCAUGAACAUUCUUCUAAAAUAUGUUGGAACAUAUUUUUAAACACCUCGGAUUUUUUUUAAACAUGUAUGCGAAUAUUCAUCAUGAAAAAAAUUCAUUUCAUAAAACAUUCUUCAAAAAUGUGUUGGAACUUAUUUUUAAACACACUGGAUUCUUUAAUCAUGUAUACAAAUUUUACAUUCCAUGAACAUCCUUGUAAAAUCUCUCAAAGACGACUGAUUUUUUUCUCUGAAAUGUUAUGUGACACACUAACAGAGAAGGAAACUGACGCAUGGCAGGUAGAGCAAUGUAACCUUGGAGGACUUGUGGGCAAAUCCAAAGACUUGAUGCUUCAUACAUGCAGCUGUUUGCCGUUGAUGUCCACCACUUGUGUCAAACAGACGACUAUGAUCAACCGCCAUCGUCGCCGUCGCCGCCGCCGCCUUGUCUUGAUGGUUCUGCACUUGUAGAUUGGUGGAUGAAACCCACAGGAACAUCUGCUCCGAACCUCCUCGCUCACUAUCUGAAUCUGAGUCUGACUAAACAGUAAAUAACAGUAAAUAAUGCUGGAAAUGCUGACCUAAAAUAAAACAUGAAAAUGAGUAGCUCUGUUUCCUAAUAUAAAACAUGAAAAUUUGUUACCGAUGACUAAACUGUGCUCAAAGAGUGACUACGGACAAACAAAGGGAGUGGCGCACGCACGCAGUUGGUGAUAGAUUGACUGAAACCACACUACUGAAAAUUCUGCCAACAACAAUUAUUUUGGAACAAGAAAAUACAGUGCUUACAUUCUUGCCUCACAAACGAAAGCCAAGGUGUAUGUGCUUAAAUUCUGCCAAGGAGGAGCCGUACGUGCAAAAAUCAACACCCAAAAAAAAAGUCUGAAUAUAGAUCCCGCUGCUGAUUCGUCGUACGUAUCUUCCCAUAGUGAUGGUGUUGCGUCUUGACAGCUCGCUAAUCUCUGCGAAAGGCAUUUCUCCAUGUCUUGGGCUUCAGCAGAGUAGGCUCUGUUCACAUAUGACGUCACAACGAAUUUGUAAGUUUACACUGGAAAAGCACGAGGAACCAAGAAUUUACGUCAUGCUGUUACCAUUAUCUGUGACUAGUUGAUUACCAAUGUUGUACUACUCUCUAGUGCAGUAUAGUACUAAUUACCAAGUGUACACGUCACGCGUAUGUAACACAUGCAUGUUUGCUGUUAUACUGAAAAAGAAGAAAAUCAAGACCCUCUUCCUUUAAAUUACGUACUACCUAGCUAGCUGGUUAGAGACUUUGGAUCCAAACCGAGUAGUAGUAUAUCUGCAACGAUUCUGAAUUUGUUGUUGAAAUGUGACGAGCUAACAGAGAAGGAAACUGACGCGUGUGUGUACGUACCUUGAUAGCGGGCAUCUAGAUCUUUAUCCUCAAGGCUGCUUACACGCUGCUGCAGGCCUGCAGGGAGCCUCUUUAUGCCGGGACAGUUUUCAAUCCUUAGAUACCUGAGAGAUGCGUAUGCUUGCGGCCCAUCUGGUACGGAUGACAGGGUCUUGCAAUCCCGGAUGUGGAGGCCCUCCAGUGAUGGGAACUCUCCCGAGUGAGAUUCCACUAAUCUCAACUCACAGCACCGAGAAACACUAAUAUACUUGAGGGAUGGGGGAAGACUGAGGACCCCUGUUAAGCUCUCACAUCCUGAUAUGUAUAUCCCUUCUAAACAUGGACAGGGGAAAUGUUCCACCCUGGCUACGGCUGAUGAUGGUGAUAAGACCUCUGAAUGUAGAGGUGACCCAUGAAGAAUCGAUGGUGCUGAUGCUGACUCUCCCUGCUGCUGCAGACUCCUGCUGAAUAUGGACUUGAGCUUACUGCAAUCAAUAAUUGUCAUAUUCCUCAGGGAUGCAGGGAGUUUGAAGACAUCUACCAUGCUUUCACAAUCCCAUAUCUCGAGAGACUCGAGACAUGGCAGGAGCUGACUCGAGGGUUCCGAUACUGUUGAUGGCUCAGCAGCAGGAGCUUGUGCGUAUCCAACUAGUUGCUUGCAGUCCAAAAUCACUAGAGUCCUCAAGGAUACCAAGCUUUGAAACUCUUUCUCUGGCCAGUGGACAAGGGCAGCACAAUCUUUAAUCCUCAACUGUUGAAGCUGUUUAAAACAUGCACAUAGCUCAGUUACACCCGACUUGAAGCCAAUUACAUCCAGAUCUGCUAGAGGGAAAUCAUGAUGAUUCCAUUUUCCCCUGGCGUUCACCACUUGUGUAUAACUAUGAUCAUCCACCGCUACCGAGGUUGUUUCCGUGUUUUUACGGUUCUGCAGCUUUAGAUUGGUCAAUGAAGUCAUAUAUCUAGCUACCCACAGGGAUAUCUCUUCCUCACCUCCCUCAAAGUCUAACACGGUCAGCUUUGGCGAUUUAGCAUUCAUUGCCAGCUUUGGACAAUCUGUAACACACAACUUCUCAAGCUGAGGAAACAGUAUCUCUUGUUGCUCAUUUGUUGUUUCCCACAAUCCUUCCAAACAAUCCAGACCUUGUAGUGUAAACUCCUUCAGAUUUGGAAAAGUGAACGAUGUGCUACAACUGAAUAACCAUUGAAGUUUUUUACAAUCAGAAAGAUGGAUCUCAACCAUGUUUUGUGACAUAGCCAUCCAUGUUGGAAAGGUGGUGCCUCCGUAGGAUUCUAUCCUUAUAGCCUGCAGCGCAUCAUGAGGUUCUAGACCCUCAAGCACUCUUUCACCACCACAACAACCGGAGGUCCAUUUUAAUGUCAAUUCUCGGAGUUCCUUCUUGUUUUGGAGAUUCACAGAUUUUGCAUCUUCUUCUGUCACAUUCUCUAGUCGAUGUAUCUGUAGCUCACCACCAAGGUUUAACUGUUGCAACUCUCCAACAGAACUGCACUCAGAGCCAGUAGGACCUGCUACAAAACAUGUAAGUGUCUGUAGUGAAAUGAGUUUUCGGAGAUGACCAGGCAUGUUCCUCAUCUUUGGACAAUUAUGAGUGUAGAGAUGACGGAGGGCAGUCAUAUACUUCAUCUGCCUUGGAAGCCGACGAAGUGCAUAGCAGCCAGAGACAUUCAAUGUUUGCAGAUUGUAUAGAAUGCUUAUAUCUUCAGGAAGUGCUUCGAUAUCACUAUUUGAGAGAUCAAGGUACCUUAAGUGCUGCAGAUGCUUUGAUUUCAAGGGGAAUGAGCUUCUCAAUGUGAAGAGUUGUAAUGCCUUCAAAGAGCUGUAUUUUGAUAAAUGCUGCAGUGAAUGUUCCAUUUUCCCAUCGCACAGAAGAGUCUGGAUUGCUGGAGAUAUUUUCGCCAGAGAAUCAUUCAAAAUAAUUUCUGGUUCUUCACAAGACAAAAGUAAGUGGCGAGCUGUAUCUGGAAGCCAAUCAGUCUGACCUGGUUUCUCAGGUGCGAGAGCACAUUCUUUUUCCAUUGUAGAUAGUGCAACAUCAUGCAUCAGAUCAUGGAUUUUACAUGUAUGUUUGGAAUAAUUAUGCAUCCCCCAGAGCUCGUUAAAUGAGACUCGGACUUUUUUCACAUCCACAAAAAAUGACCUUGAGGCCAGCUCACUGAAAAUCCAUUGGCCAAUUGUCUCAGGACGGACUUCUUUUUGUUCCUGAAUAAAGCCAUGUGCGAUCCAUAGCUGGAUCAGCUUGUCCACAUCAAUUUCAUAAUCCUUGGGAAACACAGCACAGAAAGAAAAGCACUGCUUCAUCUGCGAUGACAAGUCAUUAUAGCUUAGCUUGAGUACUGGUAAUAUUCCAGACUCCUCAGUGCAAAUGUUGCUUCUGCUUGCUAUAGCCUUCCACUCUUCUUUGCUGGUCUUUGUACGCAGCACAGAGCCCAGUGCUGUUGCGGCCAAAGGAGAGCCACGACAUCUCUUCACAAUAUCACCAACCAAUUUCACUAGUUCGGCAGGCCUUUCUUCUUCCUUCUGCAAACCGAAUGCUCUCGUUUCGAUAAUUUCCUUUAUGAAGUGAUCCUCCAACUCUGCGAGAUCGUAGGGUUUCACUGAACCCAUUAUUUUUGUGACACCUCCAUCGCGAGUAGUUGUCAGAACCACGCUACCCUUGGCACCAUGUGUAAGCCGAGCCUUGAGCAUUUCCCACUUAUCGCUCUCUCGGUUCCAUACGUCAUCCAAUACAAGAAGGUACCUACGUCCGCUUAGUCCAUCUUGAAGCCUAUCCAGUGGCCUUUUCUUGGAAGCUGCUUCGGUUGUACUUUUACUGGGAGUUACUGCUUCAACAAUAUUAUUAGCCAAGGAUUCCACCUCAAAGCUGUCAGAGACACAAACCCAUAUCAACAAGUCGAAAUGCUUCUGAAUUUCAGGUUCAUUGUAAAUGAGCCGCGCUAAGGUGGUCUUGCCUAGCCCCCCUACCCCAACGAUGGGAAUAACCAUGAGAUUUUCAUCGUUAGCAUGACCAACUAGCAUAUCAACAAUAUUCUUAGUGUCUUGGCUUCUCGAUCUGCUGAUGAUUUCCUUUGGAUCGAAGAUAACAUGAUCCGUGUGCCUCCAGUCCUUGGAUGCCGGUGCUUGUUGCUGAUAUUUAAACCCAAAGGCGUUCAUCUCAGCCACAAGGACCUCGAUGGCCUGCACAAUCCUACACAGCUUCUUCCCCAUCUUGUCACGGAACACAAAACGGUUGUGGGUGGGAAAGAGCUUCACUGCAUCGAAGCCCAGCUUGCUGUAGUGCCCGUUCUUCUUGGCCUCUCGGCGGAGCGCCUCGUAAUUGAACUCGUCGAAGACCUCAUUUGCCUCGUAGGCUACCCUCUUGACUUCCUCCAGCCAUGCCAUGGCACCAUCUCUGUGGGACGCCGCCUGCUCGGCGUCGGCAAUGACGUCCAGGAUGGCACGCAGCUUGCGCUUGAGCACCCUGUGCUGCUCUUCCAUGCCCUGCAUCACCUUGUACUUGUCAAGCAGGUAGCUGGACGCCUUCUGCUUCACCAUGGACAGCAGCGGCGCCACCACCAUGGUGGCCACCAGCUCUGCCAUCGGAGUGCUCAGACCUCGCAAAUGCACACACGGAGCCACAACUGCAGAAACACACACAGGGCAGAGAAGACAAUGGUGGUGUGAGCAAGCUAGAUCUGCAGGUAAAUAUGCCUCUCAGGAGAAUUGGAAAAAAAAAUGUGAGUACCUUAGCACUCCCCGCGGUGCGAUCCUUGGCGCUGAACCUGGAGAGGGGGGCAGAGAACACGGGGAAUCAGAGCUGCAUUUUGGCCAUUUACUGGAUGUUUGUGUGGAUCAUUUGGUUUUGACAGAUAGGGGUUGUACAGUACAGGAAACGGAUGCUCGGUGUUAAUUGUUGCGCUUAAGCUAAAAUCUCAAGUUGUUAACAAGAAUAGAGGAAACAGAGCAUACCUGGUGUUGUCGACGGCAAGCAGGACUAAAACUGCGGUGAGAUCCAACACCAAACUUGAGAGAUCUGCCGAGCGAACCAGAAAGAUACUUUACAAUCUACAAACAGCAAAAGGCCAAAUGUGCCAACCAAGAUCAGCAAAGACACUUGAUUCAGAGGAUGUGAGGAUCCACCAGAGCAGACUAAGAAAGACAAAGAAAUUUACCAGGACCCGUCACGCGCCUCCAUAUCACUCCUUGUACUGGUCCAGGAGGUAGCUGGACGCGCGCCUUCUCCUUCACAGUGGACAGCAGUGGCUCUGCUACUGGAACACUUGGAGCGACGGGUGCAGAACACAGGGAAACCCAAUUGUAGUCCAGGAUGGAGAAGAGGAAUAUGGUGUGGCCGUGUUAGCAGCUAGCUAGAUGUGCAGAUACUACUUGCUUCUGAGGAAAAUGGAACACAAUGCCAGUACUGAAUUUCGGAUGCUUGCUUCAGAGUAUUGCUUCUGAGAAAAACAGAUGCUUGCUUCAGAGUAUUGCUUCUUUGUAGAAAACAGCUAAGCUUGACUAAAAAGGAUAAGUUGGUUCACACCCUCGUCGUAGGGCAUGACCAAUGCAUAGCCCCAGGAUGAUGCCCCGUAGGCCACGUAGGAUCGGAUGUCAUGAAAAAUAGGUUUGGAUGAAGCAGUGGGAUCCUCUAUAGGAGGUGGGUGCUCGGGGAAAAAAAGUGGUCCGGUGCAUAAGACUAAGAAGGUUGAAGUGAAGAGUAGAGAUACAUGUGUAGUGGGAGUCUUUAUUCUUUAUUCUUUGAUAAGGCCCACUAGUGGUAGCUUGCAUUGAGGGAAAAAAAAUAAUGUAGAUGCUUCAAACUACUUUUUAUCAUGAGGCAUCCGUAUUUAUAUAUCACCAUCGUACAUGUCCGUAGAAAAAGAGGUAUUUAGUUCCCACACAUGGGUGCACACCAAUUAAAGAAAUAGAAGAUGCAGGGACCAAAACACGAACUUGAAAGUUGAAACCACACACCAGUUACCUUUACUCCAUUGAUUUAUAUAAAAAAUGCAAUGCGUUCAGAACUUUUAUUACAAUAGUGUCUCUUUGUUUGAACACUACUCAAAGCAUUCCUAGUAGUGUGUGCAUGUCCUUUUUUUUCCCGGUGGCACUAGUAGCCCCCGGAUCCAUGAUUGUUGGUGGAAGACUUGCCUUCGGAUGAAAAUCCUGCAUCUAGUCAGUGUCGAUGGUAACGGCGUCUAUGGAUGUCGUCUUCCUCCUUGGAGAUACCUCCGUGGAGCUCGUUUUUCUCUUCGUACCUAAUGGCUUGUGGUCUUCGGAUGAAAACCUAAGAUUUGGCUAGGCCAGAUCGGGUGGCGGUGUGGCUCACAACAUAACUUCCUCCUUGGAGGCGUCACCUUGGAGGCGUCACCUUGGAGGCCAAACGGUGGUUUUCAAUGGUGUGCAUGCUUGUCUGUGGAGCUUGGGUUUGUGGUGGUGCUGACCUUUUUCUUUCUUUUCUUUUUGCACUAGCCUUUUGUUGUGCUUUCCUCUUCGGGCGGUUCCUCUAAUGCAUCUUCUGAUCAAUGAAUUUGGCAUCUUUCUUGCCAACGUUCGAAAAAAAAGUGCAUUUUUGGUCUUAGCAAUCUCUUUCUUUGUUAGUUCUGUAUUGCAUGUAGUAUCGAAUGAGAAGUAUGCUUACUACAAAACAACAAAAAGUGGUGAUUCGUAGUUCUACAGUGUGGAUGGAUGGAGAAAGAAAUACCACAUUAUAUACAUACAUCAGGAUAUGGUCCAAUUAAUAUUGCUCAUUUCUUCAAUAUGUUCCACCUAAACAACUAGAACAUGGCAGGAACCAGAAAGGUGAACCUUCAAAGGUGAACCAACAUUAUAAGCUUGACUAAAAAGGAUAAGUUGGUUCACACCCUCGUCGUAGGGCUAGGCCAUGGCCAAUGCAUAGCCCCAGGGUGAUGCCACGUAGGAUCGGAUGUCAUGAAAAGUAGGUUUGGAUGAAGCAGUUGGAUCCUCUAUAGGAGGCGGGUGCUCGGGAAAAAAAAGUGUGGUCCGGUGCAUAAAACUGAAAAGGUUGAAUGAAAAGUAGAGAUGCAUGUGUAGUGGAAGUCUUUAUUCUUUAUUCUUUGAUAAGGCCCAUUAGUGGUAACUUGCAUUGAAGAAAAAAAAUCAAUAUAGAUGCUUCAAACUAUUUUUUAUCAAGGUGCAUCUUUAUUCAUACGUCAUCAUUGUACAUGUCCGUAGGAAAAGAGGUAUUUAGUUCCCACACAUGGGUGCACACUAAUUAAAGAAAUAGAAGAUGUAGGGACCAAAAGAUGAACUUGAAAGUUGAAACCAUACACCAGUUACCUUUACUCCAGUGGUUUAUAUAUAAAAAUGCAAUGCGUUCAGAACUUUUGUUACAAUAGUGUCUUUUUGUUUGAACACUACUCACAGCAAGUACAAUAAGGUACAGUCAGCAGGCUGUAAGGAUUAAAAUACUAUAUUUUUGUUGAGUUGGAUGAGAGAGAGGAGGAGAGAGAAGGGAAGCGAGCUCUUCGUGAAGAGCCAGCUCUAGCACGUGCUCCUAGGUGCUUUGUGAGAAUAAAAGGUGAGUCAUAUAUGAUAAAAGUAUUACUCUUUUAUAGCUAACUAUUAUACAAGCUAGCUAUAAGACUGCUUAUAGCCAGCAGUUGGCUAUACUAUUAACCAUGCUCUCAAAGAGCCCACACUAGAUGACAAGUUCGCUCCUAGUAGUGUGUGCAUGUCCUUUUUCUGUCCGGUGGCACUAGCUAGUAGGCCUCGGAUCCAUAAUUGUUGGUGGAAGACUUGGCUUCGGAUGAAAAUCUUGCAUCUAGUCAGUGUCGAUGGUAACGGUGUCUAUGGAUGUCGUCUUUCUCUUUGGAGGUACCUCCAUGGAGCUUGUUUUUCUCUUCAUACCUCAUGGCUUGUGGUCUUCGGGUGAAAACUUAAGAUUUGGCUAGGCCAGAUCGGGUGGCGGUGUUGUUCACGACAUAACUCCCUCCUUGGAGACGUCACCUUGGAGGCCCAACGUUGGUUUUCAAUGGUGUGCAUACUUGUCGGUGGAGCUUGGGUUUGUGGUGGUGCUGACCUUUUUCUUUCCUUUUUUUGCACUAACCUUUUGUUGUGCUUUCCUCUUCGGAGGGUUCUUGUAACGCUUCUUCUGAGAUGAGAACAUUAUUUUCUGUCAUAUACAACCACUAGGCUAUCGCCCAGUCCUCAGUUCUCAUCUUUGAAUCACCUUAUGUUUUGGGGUUAAUUGGAUUCAUGCCACUCCAAUUUUCACCGGUUGGAGAUAUGCCAUUACAAAAACUGAACUUGAACAUGGUAUAAUUGACACAAUCCUGCACUAGUACAGUGUUGUAAGAAAAUAGAGUUAGUAACCUAGCUAAAAGCCAGAACGUGGAAGGAACCAAAAAGGUGAACAUUCAGAGAUGAGAAGCUUAAUCUGUUGCCAGUUUAAAAGGUAGAAUAUGCAUAUACAGACACAAAGUCAGCAAAUGUGCUUGCCAAAAUUGCAGCCAGUUUAAAAGGAGGCAUAAAAUUGCAGCCAAAAUAUGUGCAACCAAUAGUUCUAAGUAUGUGCAUCAAUGAAAUGGUUAUGAUUUGCAGCCAAAAAAAUUAUUAUUGUAGAAAGCAUUAAGCAUCAACCACCAAUAGAUUCCAAAAAUCCCAUUUAAUAUAAAGAUUCCAGUGAAAUAACUUUUAUGGGAAUGCAGAGAAAAAAGUUCAGUCACGCUCAGAGACACAAAGGGACAAAAUGCAAAGACACAAAAGAGAAGAAAUCAAAUAGCUUUGUGUGGAACAAAAAUGAUAGCUGGAUUAGUAACUGGACCAAUACAGCUAAAGUCUUCAGUAUGUGCCCGUGCCACGUAGAACAAGAAGAUGGAAAUAACCACAAAGGAGAAGAUUCAGAGAUGACAAAGAUCAUUUUUUUGUCAGAUCAAAAUGAAGCAUAUGCAUAUACAGACACAGAAUCAGCAAAUGUGCUUGCUAUCUGAACACCGUUGAAUCAGUGGCGGUAAUACUCGAGGCCAGCAAAGUCAUGUCUUGCAGAAAUUAGGCGCCACAUUCCAUCAAACAACAUGUGCACAAAGGAGUUGAGCCUACCGAUUUGCCUUCAGUCACCUAAACUUUCAAGUCAAACCGGAAAUAUUCAUGGAUCAGCUGGUUGAAGAACCAGCACUACAUGAUAUACUCGACACAAUCUUAUGUAGCAGGCAGUAGUACAACUAAUGCUGUAAGAAAAUACUGUACUAGAGUAGAGUUUAUAGUAAACUGAUAGGUAAUUAGGUAUUGCCCCCAACUCGGGCUGCGUUGAUCGAGCGGCAGGGGUGCACUGAUCGAGAGUUCGAGACUCAAGCCUCGGAAUCCCAUCCGCGCGCGCUGCGGGCUGCGGAGAGGGAGAGACGCAUCGGCACUGUAGCAGGACAGGCAGCGCGCAGCGGAGGAGGUCGAUCCAUCCCAUUCUCCAUCGUACGGCUAGAAGCGGAAUAAUGUAACUAGAAGACUAUGUGUCCAGAGUCUUACAAUCGAUACCUAUUAAUAUGCACUUCAGGCGAGCUUUAAUAGGAGCAUGUUGGGAGGCAUGGAUGCAUCUGGUAAGAAGACUUAUGCAGGUACAAUUAUCUGAUCAUCCAGACAAUGUUCGAUGGAUUUUAACUGUGAAUGGGGUAUUCUCAGUAAAGUCCAUGUAUAUAGAUCUGAUGGAAGAUGGCCGCACGGGUUAUCUUCAACCGGUUUGGAUGGCGUGCUAGUAAUAGACCAGGUGUAUAGGCAACGUAAUUUUGGGCAUUUUGCUUGGGAGUGUCCGGAGAAGAAGAAGGACAACCAGGAGAAGGCAUUGCUCGGCGUCGAGGAUGAGCCGGCUCUUCUCUAAAAGUGCAUCACGAGUGAAGGAUCAAGAUUAAGGAGGAGAAUGUUAGGUUUAAUCUUGAUCAUGCAUCUGCAUUUUUAGUUUUAGUCAUGCAUGUAUUUGUCCAGAGGUUGUACAUGUGACGUGUACAUGGCGUGCAAAGCGAUUUGCCCAAGAUCGUCGUGCGAAGCGGCGUGUCUGGCCAGAGCUGGGAUAGUCUGUUAGUUAGUUAGUGCAUGCAUGGCCGGGUCAUGGAAAUCAUGGAGAGAUUCCAGGGUUUGUUAGCAGCCGGACGUGCGUACAUGGAGGACGUGCUGUUAGUGGCCAGUAUGGUAGCUGGGUAUGUGUGCGUCGAUGUACUACUUAAGUUGUAAUGCUGCAUAUUUACUUUCAACGCAAGAGAAUAGAAAGAGAAGAAAAGACCGGAUGUGUGAUACAGUGGCACCAAACACCUGCGUCUUUUUCCCUGUUCUUGUGAGAGCUACGUGAGGUAGAAGAAGAGUAAGAGGGGCUGGGAGAGUUAGCCCAACAUUUGAUAUCGGAGCUAGGUUGAAGAUGACGCGUGACUCUUCAGCGAGUGGAGCGUUGGAGCCGGCAGUGGCCGCGAUGACGGCGGCGGCGGCGACGGCGAUGGCGCAGCGGGAAAGCUUCCAUUCCCGCUGCUAACAAGGACGAACUACGUGGCAUGGGCGAUGAGGAUGAAGUACCUCUUGCGAGCCAACGGCGCAUGGGCUGCCGUUGAUCGCGAGACGUCGUCCAUGAAGGUUGACAAGGGCAAGGAGGAGUUGGCCAUGACGAUCAUCUCCCAGUCGAUUGACGACACGACGCUGCUGCGCGUAGCAGAGAAGGAGACCGCUGCCGAUGUGUGGGCGUCUCUACGCUCCAUGCACGUUGGUGUCGAGCGCGUCCGGGAGGCGAGGAUUCAGUCCUUGCGCUCGGAGUUUGAUGGCCUCAAGAUGGGUGAUGCAGAGUCCGUGGAUGAUUUCGCGGCGAUGUUCACGACGCUCGUGGGACGCAUCCGUGAGCUUGGUGAUCCGCUGGAGGAGAAGUACAUGGUGAAGAAGCUGUUGCGAGCCGUCUCCAACAAGUUCAUCCACGUUGCUUCGUCAAUUGCGUUGUUCGGCGACACCAACAAGAUGGCCAUGGAGGAGGCCAUUGGUUCACUCAAGGCACAUGAGGAGCUCGUCAAGGGGCGGGAGACGACACGUGAAGAGGAGCAACUUUUCAUGGUGAGAGGGGAUGACUCGUCGCGAGGACGGGGUCGUGGCCGUGGACGCGCUGGAGGGCGCAAAGACAAAAGUGAGGUACAAUAUUACAAUUGUCGUGAUUUUGGGCAUUUUGCUUGGGAGUGUCCGGAGAAGAAGAAGGACAACGAGGAGAAGGCAUUGCUCGGCAUCGAGGAUGAGCCGGCUCUUCUCUAAAAGUGCAUCACGAGUGAAGGAUCAAGAUUAAGGAGGAGAAGGUUAGGUUUAAUCUUAAUCAUGUAUCUGCAUUUUUAGUUUCAGUCAUGCAUGUAUUUGUCCAGAGGUUGUACAUGUGAUGUGUACAUGGCGUGCAAAGCGAUUUGCCGAAGAUCGUCGUGCGAAGUUUCGUGUCUGGCCAGAGCUGGGAUAGUCUGUUAGUUAGUUAGUGCAUGCAUGGCCGGGUCAUGGAAAUCAUGGAGAGAUUCCAAGGUUUGUUAGCAGUUAGUGCAUGCAUGGCAGGGUCAUGGAAAUCAUGGAGAGAUUCCAGGGUUUGUUAGCAGCCGGACGUGCGUACAUGAAGGAUGUGCUAUUAGUGGCCAUUAUGAUAGCUGGGUAUGUGUGCGUCGAUGUACUACUUAAGUUGUAAUGCUGCAUAUUUACUUUCAACACAAAAGAAUAGAAAGAGAAGAAAAGGCCGGCUGUGUGAUACAGUGGCACCAAACAUAUGCGCUUUUUUCCCUGUUCUUGUGAGAGCUACGUGAGGUAGAAGAAGAGUAAGAGCCUAAGAGGGGCUGAGAGAGUUAGCCCCAACAGGUUUUGCCUCCUUUGGUGGCGAUCACUGGUGGAAAAACAGGCUUCCGUCCAGCCCCAUAAGUCGCGAAGCUGUAGGAACCGCGACUAAUGGGACCUUUAGUCGCGGUUCUGGAGGUGAACCGCGACCAAAGGCCUGGGCCCAGGGCGCUCGGUGGCCAGCUGGUGCACGUGAGGGGCUUUAGUCGCGGUUGGCCAGGACAACCGCGACUAAAGGCCUUCGGGCACCUUUAGUCACGGUUUGCCGGGCCAACCGCAACUAAAGCCCCUCCCCUAUAUAUACCCAUCCAGCAGCCAACACUUAGCCAUUUGGAGCCAUUCUCUUCACAAGUGGAUGUAGGUUUGCUUUUGGUUCCUCUUAUGCACAUAAGGUGUUUGAUGAAAUGCCCCAAGAGCAUGAAACAAACAUGACAUGAAGUGUUGGAGCCACACUCCUCGAUCGCGGUUAGCAACUUGAUGAACCUUUGAUGUGUCAUUGAUAAAAUAUGCAUGUGUGUAGUUCAUUGUUUAAUUUAUAUUGUUUGUAGCUAGUUAGUUUAACAAAUGCAUGAUGGUUAAUUAUAUAUUUUAUAUUAUAAUAAUGCAGAUGAAUCGGCAAUGGAUGUACGUUAACCGACUCUCCGGCGAGUUCACUACGGGUUUGAAAGAUUUCCUCGUAGUGGCUAAUGCGAACAAGCGGGGGGGUUUUGUUAUCUGUCCAUGUGUUAACUGUAAGAAUCAGAAGGGUUACUCUUCCUCAAGAGAUGUUCACAUGCAUCUGCUUCGGCACGGUUUCAUGCCAAGCUAUAAUUGUUGGACCAAGCAUGGAGAAAGAGGGGUUAUAAUGGAAGAAGAUGAAGAAGGGGAUGAUUUCAUCGAUGAAAGCUAUCUUGCUCAUUUCGGUGAUACUUUCAUGGAGGAUGCUGAAGGUGAAGGGGAAGGUGAAGAAGAGGCACGUGAUGAUCCCGUUGAUGAUCUUGGUCGGACCAUUGCUGAUGCACGGAGACGCUGCGAAACUGAAAAGGAGAGGGAGAAUUUGGAUCGCAUGUUAGAGGAUCACAGAAAGGCGCUGUACCCCGGAUGCGAUGAUGGUCUGAAAAAGCUGGGCUGCACACUGGAUUUGCUGAAAUGGAAGGCAGAGGCAGGUGUAGCUGACUCGGCAUUUGAAAACUUGCUGAAAAUGUUGAAGAAUAUGUUUCCAAAGGAUAACGAGUUGCCCACCAGUACGUACGAAGCAAAGAAGGUUGUCUGCCCUCUAGGUUUAGAGGUUCUGAAGAUACAUGCAUGCAUCAACGACUGCAUCCUCUACCGCGGUGAAUACGAGAAUUUGAAUGAAUGCCCGGUAUGCACUGCAUUGCGUUAUAAGAUCAGAGGCGAUGACCCUGGUGACGAUGUUGAGGGCCAGAAACCCAGGAAGAGGGUUCCCGCCAAGGUGAUGUGGUAUGCUCCUAUAAUACCAUGGUUGAAACGUCUGUUCAGGAACAAAGAGCAUGCCAAGUUGUUGCGAUGGCACAAAGAGGACCGUAAGUCGGACGGGGAGUUGAGACACACCGCAGAUGGAACGCAAUGGAGAAAGAUCGACAGAUGGUUCAAAGAUUUUGCAGCUGACGCAAGGAACAUAAGAUUUGCUCUAAGUACGGAUGGCAUGAAUCCUUUUGGCGAGCAGAGCUCCAGCCAUAGCACCUGGCCCGUGACUCUAUGCAUCUACAACCUUCCUCCUUGGUUGUGCAUGAAGCGGAAGUUCAUUAUGAUGCCAGUGCUCAUCCAAGGUCCGAAGCAACCCGGCAACGACAUCGAUGUGUACCUAAGGCCAUUAGUUGAUGAACUUUUACAGCUGUGGGGUGGUGUCCGUGUGUGGGAUGAGCACAAACAAGAGGAAUUUGACCUACGAGCGUUGCUUUUCGUAACCAUCAACGAUUGGCCUGCUCUUAGUAACCUUUCGGGACUGUCAAAUAAGGGAUACAAUGCAUGCACGCACUGCUUACAUGAGACUGAAAGUGUACAUUUGCCAAACUGUAAGAAGAACGUGUACCUUGGGCAUCGUCGAUUUCUUUCGAAAAUUCAUCCAGUAAGAAAGAAAGGCAAGCAUUACAACGGCAAGGCAGAUCACCGGCCGAAGCCUGCGGAACGCACUGGUGCUGAGGUAUUUGAUAUGGUCAAGGAUUUGAAAGUCAUCUUUGGAAAGGGUCCUGGCGGACAAUCAGUUCCGAAGGGAGCUGACGGGCACGCAGCCAUGUGGAAAAAGAAAUCUAUAUUCUGGGAGCUAGAAUAUUGGAAAGUCCUAGAUGUCCGCUCUGCAAUCGACGUGAUGCACGUUACGAAGAAUAUUUGCGUGAACCUCCUAAGCUUCUUGGGCGUGUAUGGGAAGACAAAUGAUACAAAGGAAGCACGGCAGGACCAGGAACGUUUGAAAGACCCUGAUGACCGGCAUCCGGAAUGGUUUCAAGGUCGUGCCAGCUACGCUCUGACCAAAGAAGAGAAGGUCAUCUUUUUUGAAUGCCUGAGCAGUAUGAAGGUCCCGUCUGGAUUCUCGUCCAAUAUAAAGGGAAUAAUAAACAUGGCGGAGAAAAAGUUCCAAAACCUGAAGUCUCACGACUGCCACGUGAUUAUGACGCAAUUGCUUCCGAUUGCUUUGAGGGGGCUCCUGCCGGAAAAUGUUCGAGUAGCCAUUGUGAAGCUAUGUGCAUUCCUCAAUGCAAUCUCUCAGAAGGUAAUCAAUCCAGAAGUUCUACCACGGUUACAGAACGAUGUGAUCCAAUGUCUUGUCAGUUUCGAGUUGGUGUUCCCGCCAUCCUUCUUCAAUAUUAUGACGCACCUCCUGGUUCACCUAGUCGAAGAGAUUUUCGUUCUCGGUCCUGUAUUUCUACACAAUAUGUUCCCCUUCGAGAGGUUCAUGGGAGUAUUAAAGAAAUAUGUUCGUAACCGUGCUAGGCCAGAAGGAAGCAUCGCCAAGGGCUAUGGAAAUGAGGAGGUAAUUGAGUUUUGUGUUGACUUUGUUCCUGACCUUAAGCCGAUUGGUCUUCCUCGAUCGCGGCACGAGGGGAGACUAAGUGGAAAAGGCACGAUCGGAAGGAAAUCAACGAUAUGUAUGGACGGCCAUUCUCUGACUGAAGCACACAACACUGUACUGACCAAUUCCAUCUUGGUGGCUCCGUACUUUGAGAAACACAAGAAUAUUUUACGCUCUGACAACCCGGGGAAGCCUGAAUCCUGGAUUAGGAAGGCCCACAUGGAGACUUUCGGCAGUUGGUUGAGAAAACAUUUAAUGAAUGACAAUGAUGUUGUAGAUCAGCUGUACAUGUUGGCCAAGACACCAUCUUCGACUAUAACGACUUUCCAAGGGUACGAGAUAAAUGGGAAUACAUUUUACACGAUCGCCCAAGAUAAAAAGAGCACCAACCAAAACAGUGGUGUCCGCUUUGAUGCAGCAACCGAGAAUGGGCAAGAGGUCACAUAUUAUGGUUACAUAGAGGAGAUAUGGGAACUUGACUAUGGACCCUCCUUUAAGGUCCCUUUGUUCCGGUGCAAAUGGUUCAAGCUAACAGGAGGUGGGGUAAAGGUGGACCAGCAAUACGGAAUGACAAUGGUGGAUUUCAACAAUCUUGGUUACCUUGACGAACCAUUCGUCCUAUCGAAAGAUGUCGCUCAGGUUUUCUAUGUGAAGGACAUGAGUAGCAAACCGAGGAAACGGAAAGAUAAGAAAACGAUCAGUACAUCAUGCGAUGAUCCAAAGCGCCACAUUGUUCUUUCAGGGAAAAGAAACAUCGUGGGAGUGGAGGACAAGACAGACAUGUCAGAAGAUUAUAAUAUGUUUGCUGAAAUUCCGCCCUUCAAAGUGAACACCGACCCAAGCAUUAAGUUAAAUGAUGAGGAUGCUCCAUGGAUACGGCACAAUCGUAAGCAAGCAGGGACACAAGGGAAGAAAUGAUGUGUAAUAAUUUAUUGUACCAAACUUUGUUGAAUGGAUCAUGUGAAUUAUAUUACCCGUGAUGUGUUUGGUGUCCAUUUUCGAAUGAUUCGAGAUACCACUGAUGAUACAUGAAAUUUGGAGUGAUUUAGUCAUACUCCUGCCUAGGCGUAUAAUAUGCAUACUCGUAGUCUUCAUAGCCGCCGUCGUCGUUGUACUGGUAGUCGUCGCCUUCUAAGUUGCCGCCGUCGUCGUCGCUGCUGUCGUCGCUGUCGUCGGGCGGCGCUCGUGGCUCGAACUGAGGGUAGCGCAGGCGGGGGAUAUCGCCGGCCGUGAUGUAGUCCAUGACGCUCUGCAGAGUCCGGCCGUACCACCAUAGCCGACGGCCGGCCUCGUGGAAGUUCCCAGGAGGCAGACCGUCCUCCUCAUACCUGGCGAGCGCCCUCUCACGCCGAUUGAUGAAGAAGGCGUCCCAAGUAUGCUGGUUAUCGGGAUGCCAGCGGGGAUUCAUCCGCUGCUCCGGCGUGAGGUCGAGGUAGUAGUGGUUCGUGAUGGCCGCCCGGCGCGCAGUACCCUGAGGGACGGGAGGGACCGGCACGCCGCCGGCGCUUAGGCUCCAGCCGGUGGGGACGCGGUAGCCCGGUGGACAAGGGUAGUUCGAGGCGCAAAGCUCCUCCACCUGCUGGUAGGUUAGAGUGGGUGCGGUGGAAGCCAUGAGAGUGAUGAGAGAUUGUAGAGAUGUGAUAAUGCUGGCCAAGCCGGGCUACAUAUAUGUAGUGAGAAAUGGCGGGAAAAAUGGGAGCGGGAAGACAGGAGGCGGGAAGACAGGAGGCGGGAAGAAAGUGGCGGGAAGAAAGAGGCGGGAAGACAGGGAAGAAAUGGCGGGAAGAAGAGGAAUCCAGAGCUGGUCAUCUAACCUUUAGUCCCGGCUGGUUGGUGCAACCGGGACUAAAGGCCAGACCAACCGCGACUAAAGGUCGUUGCGCGCGGGGAACGCAAAAACGACCUCUCAGCGGGCGGAUAGGAGAAGAAAGGGGCGGCGCGCUCACGGCUCGGGCGAGAGGCCUCUCAGCGGGGCAUCACAGCCACCGCACCAGGCUGGCGUGAGCAAGAUGGGUCGAGGCCGAAGGCCGGCCCAGGCCGGGGGGGAGAGAGGCUGUGGCCAAUGUUCCCUUUAAAUGGAUUCUCUUUUUUCUGUCCCGUUUUAGGCAGAUUCAAUGUAUUGUCUCUAUGCAUAUUUUCCCUACGAAAAUAUGCUUAGAAAACAGAAAAUAAAAUGUUUGAAGUUUCUAUAAAAGCAAUGAUGAUUUUUCUGAAAAGAAAAAGAUAAAAGGUUCUGAAAAUAAAAGAAGAUUUGGGGGGGCCUUUAGUCGCGGUUGGUCUGGCAAACCGCGACUAAAGGUUACCCUUUAGUCGCGGGUCGCCUCCCCAACCGCGACUAAAGGGGGGGCUAUAAAUACAAGUGCGGGUCGCCUCCCCUGCCGCCGUCUUCUCCAUCUCUCUCGUCUUCUCCGAUUCUCUGCCGCGCGCGCCGAAGGCCUGCCGCCGCCGUCGCCCUCGCCCUCGUCGACGCCGCCCGCCGUCGCCCUCGCCCUCGUCGCCGCCCGCCGUCGCCCUCGCCCGCGACUAAAGGGUUCACCCCUAUCCUUUCAUCUUUCCCGCGCCGCGCCCGCCAGCUUCCUCGCUUCCUGUCGCCGCCUACUGCCCCCUCCGCUCGAAGCAUUGCGCUCGUCGUUGCGCUCAUAGCCGCCCUCGUCCCCGCGCCCAUCGAUGCCGACAGGGCUCGCAGAAAUCAAGAACGAACAUCUCAUCCCGACGUCCCGUGGGUAGUUCGUCUUGGAAGAACGUCUUGGAAGAAAAAGAACAGAGACUAUCUAUUUAAAAGUUUCAUCGAAUAUAAAAAGUUUCAUCGAAUAUGAAAAAGAACAGAGACUAUCAAAUAUGAAAAAGUUUCAUCGAAUAUAAAAAAGAUCAUCGAGUUAAAAAAUCAUCAAUUUAAAUAAUUAAUCAAUCUAAAUUGAAAAAAAUUAGCGAAUUUGGAAAAGUUCACCAUUUUUGGUUGAGUUUAAGACUAUCUAUUUUGGUUGAGUUAUUGCAGGACAUGAUUUUGGGAAUGUAUCAAUUAUCUUUUAGAUUAUUUCAAGUUACUUUAUUUGUGUAGUUUAAAUUAUGUGUGGGAUCAAUUGUGAGUAUCAAAAAAUCAACAGAAAACCAAGAAGAGAGGGAGUCAUGGGACGAAAAAACAAAGGGAGUAGGAGAGGCAACGGAACCAACUCCUCUUUUAAUAAUGAGAUACUUACAUAAUAUUUACUCCCUCCGUUUUUAAAUAAUUAUAGCCAAAAAAAGAUAGUCUAGUUUUUUUAACUACAAUUAUUUAGGAACAAAGAAAGUAUUUUCUUUUAUGAUUAAAAACUAGCAAAUGAACCAGCGAAUCGGCGGUCGGCCAGUGCAAAGCUGAAGCAGCAGGUUUACGGUCAAAAACUCUAGUUAAAACUCUAGUUAAAACUCUAGUUCACGGUUCACGAAGAGAAAACAUAUUGUCGAGCCCUAUGAUUUCUCGAUGCACCUGCACAGUCCCGGGUCUCAUACUCGUGUGGUUAGUACACACGACAGUGAUGAGAAAAAAAGUAUGGUCCCGGGUCUCCCUCUCCGUGACGCCGUCGUCUGCCGCCCCGUCUCGCGCUCUACCGCGACACCCUCUCCCACCCCUUCCUCGCCCCCUCCUUUUGCCACCGCCCUUUCGCCACCGCCACCGCCACCGCCCCCCUUCUUCACUUAAUUAAUUUGUUUUUACUGCAUGUUUUCAGGACUGACAUAAUGGCGGACGAUAGAGCUGACCCGAUUAUGGACAACUAUGAUCCGGACGGUGAAGCACAUAUGUUCGGCAUCAUAAACGGCGAUAUUCUAUAUGUGCCGACCGGAGAAGAAGAAGAUGAUAUCUCUUCUUAUCUGAACCUUGACGGUGAAGAUGAAGGGCGCCGUCAGCAAGAUGAUGCCGAACAAACGUCGAUAAACGACGAUCUUCAAAUGGAAGUAGCAACCACCUCCGGCGCCGAGGUAUAUAUAUACAUUGAGCCUCUGGUGAUACAAACUAACUGAUUUGAAUAAAUAUGUGUGUACUAACGCGCGCGACUCUCUUUCUUAUUUUAGCCCUCGGCCGGAUCGUCGAAACAAUCGAGUACGUCGUCAAAGCGUGGCGCAACCAAGACGAUGAAACAAGGAGAAACAUGCACCAUCGAGGUUGUCGACAGUGCAACCGGCAGGCCGCUGGAGCCCCGCAAGAACGCCACCAAGUUUGUCAGCCAAUGCGGAGCCGUUGUUAGAGACAACGUCUCGAUCACCGUCCAGGAGUGGAAUGAGCCAAAGAAGGCACGAAUUGCUGCAGGUUUCACUUUUUUCGAUAAGAGAACAAAAAAAGAUUGCUUCAAGAAGCUUAUGGAACAUUUCGUUCUACCUCCGGAAUACAACAAAUUCGAUGAGGAGGGUAACAAGAUUGAGGAAAACAAGGAGAGGAGGAGGCUAGUCAAACAGUUCGCUCUUCAUAAGAUGGCCGACGCAUUCCGGAAAUUCAAGCAAAAUCUAGCCCAUGACUUUGUCAAGCAGAACAAGACUCCGGAUUUCAAAGGACAAUAUGAGAAACUGAAACAUGAUUGGCCAGAAUUUGUGAAGCAAAAGAAAUCGGAGCAGUUCAUUCAAAUAUCGAAAAAAAAUAAGGAAAAUGCGGCUAAGAAGGAGUACAAUCAUAUUAUGGGGCCAGGAGGGUAUCGCAUUUUGUUGCCUAGGUUGGAGAAGAUGGAGAACGAGCUGAGGGCGCGAGGAAUCCGUCCAGGUACGGAGGGAUGGGACCCAAGGGCCAAAAGCUGGUGGUACGGGCAUGGGGGAACGCUGAACCCGGAGACAGGGGAGUGUGUUUACCGGGGCAAAUUAAUUAAACCCACCCAAGCCCUUAUUGACGCAAUGAGGGAUGCUCAAGAGGGGAAGAUCAAGUUCAACAGAGAGAACGACGCGCUGACAAAAGCCCUCGGGAAUCCUGAACACGGAGGACGUGUACGAGGCAUGGGGCACAUUCCGUGGAAAAUAGGGUUCCCCCAGAACGAUGACCCAUACGGUUACAGAAACCGUAAGAGAAAGAUGGAUCGGGAAGCAGAUGUUGUGGCGCGGUUGGCAUCGGAAAUGGAUGUGAUGAAGAAAACCAUGAGUGUACUAGUAGCCGAAAGAGAUGCAACUCGGGUGCAGCAUGAAGAUCAUCCAGCGGAUCUCGGAAGCCAGCAGCGGAGAAGCAGCGUGGCUUCCACGGAGGCCCCACCGGCUGGUGCAGAUGCACCGACGAUCGAAAUUAAUGCACCGGAGCCUCUGGUGGUCGAAAUUACUGCACCGGAGCCUCUGGUGGUCGAAAUUACUGCACCGGAGCCUCCUCGCUACCCCGUGGACGAUAUAAAGGAGAUGAAAGAAUGUCAUCUGUAUUAUCCUAUCGGGAACAUGUCCAUGAAGGUAGCCAUCGGCAGUGCUUUACCAUGUUUACCUGGAGCACUCCACCACAACAACCCCAUUCAAGAUGGCUAUGCUCGUGUCACGGUGGAGGACAUAGUCCAAGGGUUUGAGGACCUGGAGAUUGACAUUGCUACACCUGAAGGGGAGAAAAGACUUGGAGAUGUCAAGCGCCAUUUCAUUCUAUGGCAAAAGAAGUUUAUCAAGUUUCCAGGCGAGGCGCCAAGGACAACAAGUCCACCCCCCUACGGUGGUGGUGGUGGCGGUGGCGGUGGUGGUGGUGGUGGUGGUGGUGGCGGUUCACCUACACCUCCGUCACGUCAGCCGACGCCCCCCAGUCCACAACGUCCGGCGGGUGAUCAGACGCCGCCCCCCAGUCCUCGUCCGGCGGGUGAUCAGACGCCGCCCCCCAAUCCACCUCCGGCAAAGAAGCAGAAGCAGAAGCAGUCCUGGAUUAUUAACCCGGACCCUUAUGUACCUAAGACCACAAAGGUACCGGAGCCAUCACUGAAGCCUCUCCCCACAAGGCCUUGGGAACGUAGUGCCGAGGAAGUCGACGCGGCCGCGGCUGCUGAUUUGGAGAAAUGGAAGGCGGACUGCAAGAAGAAAAGAGAGCCCGAGCCCAAGCCAGUAUUUUCUGAUGAGCAAAAGAAGUGGGCUAAGUCAUUUUUGAGCACACCGUCCCAAGCCGCGAAGAAUCUGCCUGACGACUAUGCACGUGAACUUCGCAGGCAGGCACUCAUGUUCAAGGAGAACAAAGAGCGGGAGAAGGCCGAAAGUAAAAAAAGCGGGAAACAAGUUGCCCAGCUCGGGGAACAAAGUAAACAAUCGAUUGCCCCGCUUAUAGUGGAAGCCGCCGGUCCGGAUGCCCCCGAGAUCAUACAAGCUGCGGCAGCACAGGGAUUGACUGCAACGAGUGCCAGAGAACAAGCGGCCAACUUAGGUAUUACUCUUCGUGAACUGUUAGGCCUUGAUGAGGCGCCAGUGAAGGAGGUAGUAAUUACAUAUGUCAAGAAUGGGCCUCUCGUCGAGCCUGCGCAGGAAAAGGAUCUACCUCCACAAAUGAAAGGUCUGCUGAAAUGGUACAAGGGUUACAUAAAAAAUAAAAACGCCAAAGAUUAUAUUUAUGCGGAAGUUAGACAUGAGCAUCACUUCAAACAUUACUAUGUACAAAUUGAACUGAGUGAAUUGUUCCAGCUUUUCAAUCUGCGCGAUCUCGACAAAUCUAUCAUCAGUUGCUACGUUCUGUAAGUGAUUUAUUUCUACCCCAUCUCGUUCAUAUUGCCUGCACUAUAUAUAUGUCCUAACUAUAUUGUUGUGUCCGCUAUUAUACAUGCAGAAUGAAGAUUAAGGAAUGCAGAGUAAGGAACAUCCAUGAUGUUGGGUUCAUUGACCCACACAUCGUUAAUGGACAUGUGUUGGAGCAUCACCCCGCCGACAUGGAGGCAGACCUGUGGCAGUUUCUUACAAAGCAGGAACUCAAAAGUGAUAUUCUAUUUCCUUACCAUUUUGGGUGAGUGUUUCUGUCUUGAGCACAUUCUCUUUUGUUUACUCCAUGCAUGGUAUGUGGCCGGCUAAUCGAUGAGUUAUGCAUGACGUACUGUGCAUGUAUCGUGUCCGCAGGUUCCACUGGAUUCUGCUAGUAAUUAAAGUUAACACCUCAGAAUGUCUCGUCCACGACUCUCUGAAUAUGGAUCCAAAGCUUUGGGGCGGCAUGAGAAGAAUGCUGCAGAAGUAAUUAUUUUCAUUCAUUUGCGCUCUAUAUCGAUCGGCCUAUUUCGUUCAUUUCCUAAUAUCAAGUAACUAAUAACUCUCUUGUUCAUUUAAUUUUCUUUGCCUCGUAGGGUUUGGAGACGGUUCGUAGAUACAAAGGUCGGUGAAUUCAAAAAAGAGCUAGAAUUCAAAAGGUCAAAGCCGAAGAAUGCUGGGGAUAUUCAGCCAGCGGGGACCAAUCUAUGUGGAUACUAUGUCUGUGAGAUGAUCCGGAGAUACACCUCUGAGCGGGUUCCGAGUGAUACCAAUGCUAAGAGGAAUAACCUCCGGAUGAUGCUUAGUCCAGAAGCUCGCUUCCGACCACUUCAAGAGGAACUAGCUGGAUGGUUCAGCAGGGAAGUCCUCCAUCCUAAAGGAGAACACCAUUACGAGGACGUAGAACUUUAUAUGCAUUAAAUUAUGUAUGGAAACUUGUUCAAAAUUGUAUAUGGUCAUCCGAUGAUAUUGAAUAUAUAUUGUAUAUUCCUCUUGAAUUCUUUUUGGUUUUAAUUUCAAAUUUGUUUGAAAUUGUACAUUCAUAUGCAUGUAUGUAGUACCGUAGAAUAUAUGAAAUUCCUUCAAAAUUAAAAUAAAGCACAAAAGAAAUAAAACAAUACAAAUUAAACAGAAAACAGGUUUAGGGGGGGGGGCGCGCGCGCUAAAACCCUAAACCUAUGGCGGCCUUUAGUCGCGGUUGGCCAGAAGAACCGCGACUAAAGGUCCUCCGCCCCGACGGCCGCCUGGCGCCCACGUGGACGGGCCUUUAGUCGCGGUUCUUAAGAAACCGCGACUAAAGGUGGGGGGCUUUAGUCGCGCUUAGUUGGUCGCGGUUGCGCAACCGCGACUAAUGGCAGUUGCGAACCGCGACCAAAGGCCUUUUUUCCACCAGUGGAUUGGGUAAAGAGAGAGAUUCGAUUCUCCCGGUCUAGUUGAUGGCCUUGAGGGAUUGGAUUCGAACUGACUUGCACGGGAGCAUCUCGGCAACGGACUUGAGGAGGCGUGGAGCACACUACAGGAAAAAACUUAUAAGCCGAGUGCCCGAAACACUCGGCUUACGACGGAUUACACUCGGCUUAUAUAUAAGCCGGCUGUUUUCCCCGGCUUAUCCAGUGUAAGCCGAGAGCAACAGUUAAAACACUCGGCUUACAUAUAAGCCGAGUGCACCCACGUAAGCCGAGUGUCAACGGACACACGAUUUACACAUAACGGCAACGUGGUUCUAACGGCAAGCCCUGUGACGGUUCAUAUAAGCCGAGGGCCUACCGUCACACGGUUUAUAUAUAAGCCGAGGGCCUACCGUCACACGGUUUAUAUAUAAGCCGAGGGUCGAGACCGGGCGCACGGGUUAUAUAUAAACCGAGGGCCAGUGUGACACGCACGGUUUACAUAUAAACCGAGGGCCAAAUCUGACACACGGGUUAUAUAUAGGCCGGGUGGUAGUGUCUGGGGCACACGGCUUACAGCCCCAGCGCCUGGGACAACGGUCUAUAAGUCGGGUGCUAUUAUCUGGGACACACGGCUUACAGCCCCCAGCGCCUGGGACAAACGGCCUAUAAGCCGGGUGCCAGAGCCUGGGGCACACGGCUUACAGCCCCCGAUGCUCUGUAAGCCGGGUGCCAGUGCGUGUGACACACAACUUAUAGCGCCCAAGAGCAUAUUUUUUUUCCAGACAGUAGCAACAACAAUAUAUUACAUAUCCAAUAGAUCACAACAAUAUAUUACAUAUCCAAUAGAACACAACAACAAUAUAAUUUCACAAAAACAUGCAUACGCGUACAUAUGCAACAAGAACACAAAUGAAAUGGUCAUGCAUACAUAUCCAAUAUAUUACAAGUUCACAACAAUAACAAUCCGAUGAUGAGUUCUAAGUCCACACACGCAUACAUAUCCAAUACAGUUCCACAAAAGCACACAUACAUAUUCAAGGAGGGUUCACAACAACAUGCAUACAUAUGCAAGAAGAGUUCACAAAUGAAAGCAUGAGUUCAACCUACAAUAUGCAAUGAACUUCCACCACAGCAUGUAUGCCCACCGUCGACGAUAUCCGUGAUCGAUGCAAACCUAUAAGUUCAAUAGCACACGCAUGAGUUUCCAAAAUUAAAUUGCAAAUGAUCGAUAAGGCACAAGAGUCANNNNNNNNNNNNNNNNNNNNNNNNNNNNNNNNNNNNNNNNNNNNNNNNNNNNNNNNNNNNNNNNNNNNNNNNNNNNNNNNNNNNNNNNNNNNNNNNNNNNNNNNNNNNNNNNNNNNNNNNNNNNNNNNNNNNNNNNNNNNNNNNNNNNNNNNNNNNNNNNNNNNNNNNNNNNNNNNNNNNNNNNNNNNNNNNNNNNNNNNNNNNNNNNNNNNNNNNNNNNNNNNNNNNNNNNNNNNNNNNNNNNNNNNNNNNNNNNNNNNNNNNNNNNNNNNNNNNNNNNNNNNNNNNNNNNNNNNNNNNNNNNNNNNNNNNNNNNNNNNNNNNNNNNNNNNNNNNNNNNNNNNNNNNNNNNNNNNNAUAAGUUUCAACUUGAAGCUAAGAAGUAUGAAUAAUACAAGGAUCAACACUUGUGGGCUCUACUAGCAGCAAUGCAAAGUUCUGAGUUGAGAGGCACAACCAACGACAAGACACAAGCAUGAAUAAUGUACAAGCAUAGACAAGUACCUCGAGUGAUCAUUGUGGCAUGGAGGUCAAAGCAUCUUCAGCCGCAGUGCGUGUCAUUGGGCUUGCUUGGGUAGGUGUAGAUCCAGCAACCACAAAGUCAUUGAAGUGUUCUCCUGACUAUGGAUAGUUCAAGCAUGAUAGUAAGAUGGUAAGAUGAUUUAAGAAUGAUGGUAAGAUGCAUGGUUGAAAAGUUGAAGACUUACAAGGCUGAAUGUAGGAAGAGGCGGAACAGGAGGAAGAUCCGGCAAAGUUGAACACUGCAUGAUAUUACCGAACCGAGCAAACGUCUCCUGCAGGGCUGCCUGUUGUUUAGCCAUGAAUUCCUGCUGCUGAAUUAGGGUUUGCUGCAUUUUCAUGGCUUGCUCUUGUUGAAGUAGGGCAUUGGCCUGAGCUUCCUGUCGUAGCCUGCUUUCUUCCUCUAGGCGGACCUACAAUAUGCCAGCACAACAAGUUCACCAUCGUUGCAAUGCAAAGAUAAAAUCAGAAGGAAGAUCAGUGAAGUAAAACAUACAUGGAACUGAUGCAGCAUGUCCAUCCCAGGUUGUGGGCGACGCUCAAUAGCAGGACCUGAGCUCGAUGUGGUAGCACGAAGGUGGGCGAGUUUUGGAAUGUUCUUCUUACGAAUGGAACCGUCACCAACAUAUAACCGGCCACGCUUCUUGCCUUCUCCCGACUUGAGGGAAACCAUAACGUCAAUGUCUUGUGAGGCCGGAUCAGAGUCGGGCCCGUUGCACUCCUUGAACUUCCCACUAUAUGCAUUAAUCCUAAAGCCAGCCCCUGGGUUGACCCACCCCCCCUUCCGGUUUCUUUGACUUACGUGAGAGACAUAAUCCCGUGAAGGUAUUGAGAAGCUCUUCACCCUCACCUCUCUCCCUAUUCUGCAAUAGAAGCAAUAAUAUCCACAAGGGCACAAGUUGAGAAGUUCAUAAACCAAAUGAUAUUAUUACCUUCUUCUGCACGUAAGCAUGGAGGUUGAGGUUGCCUUGAAGGUGUACCGGACCACCCAUCAAGGCACACCGCUCCGAAGCCGUUGUGUGUGUGGCCCUCCACUCCGGGUUUAUCCACCUAGAUAUGAUUUGUUGGUAGCAACGAAUCUUGUUGUUGCACCACGGAGGAACCGCCUGAAACAUGUCAAAUAUAUCCAACUUAGGAAUGAAACUAAGUUGUUUUAAUCCACGCAAUCACAGCUAAAUGAAAACUACCUUCAUGUACAUGGAACGGGUGAGAUGCACUCUACGGGCUAGCGCCUUUGGGAGAAGCAUCUUGCGUUCAUAGGCGAAAUACUUCACCACCGAAUUGACACGAGCAUGGUAAGGCAUGUCUUGGACAACCUUCUUGGCAAUCUCCUCCACAAUAUCAUUAGCUUCAUCCUCCAUACCCUCAACGCAAGUAAAGAAGUCCUACGAAAGUACAUCAAUUCACAUAAAACAGUUAUCGAUGCAAUGAUUUUGAAUAUUGCUAAAGAAAUAACUAUGAAAACUGACUAAGAAUUUUACCCAAAAAUCGUUGACCACCCGCUCUGCAGCAUUGCGGUAUUCCCUGCCCCACUUGUCUUUCAUAUCUGGAGCGCGUUUCCAAUGCUCCCAAGACCAAGCUGGCUCCUCCUCACCGUCUCCUAUGGAAACCAGGCCAGGGUAAUGAUGCCUGCAAAGACAACCAAUGAUGGUGCUUGGCUGGCGUGGCGGGAUUGUGGUUUCUGGAAUAACCACGAAGGCCCUGCACAAUAGAAAGGCAAGUGAGUUAGUAUUGGCAAAAAACUUGAAUGUAAAGACAUAGUUAAGAGUCCACAAAAGCACUUACUUCUCACCGACAGGUUUAACAAUGAUCCCUUUAUGUGGAUAUGGCCGCGAAGGGAGAGUGGACACCCCACGCAACCAUAUUUUGGUCUCCUUAGGAACCGGCCAUUCCAUGUCCUUUGCCGAUUCCUCCACCGCAUACUCUCCCUCCUCCAACUCCUCCUCCUCAACUAGGUCCUCCUCCCUCUCCUCCUCCACAGCUGGCUCCUCACUCUCCUCCUCCUCCGACUCCUCCUCAGAAUGGGCGGAGGGGAUAGGGCUAGCAACACAUGGUACAAGCAUACUAUCAACUCGUCUAGCCCGGGGACCAUCCACUGUGGCUCGUUGUGCGGGUUUGCCCCUGCCUGCCUUUGUGGAACGUGUUGCACCUGUGCCCUUCUUUUUUACCCCCAUCGCCUUGCCUAACCUUUCAAUCACAUUGCCAAGUCUCGCAACUUUUUUCUUUUUGUUGCAUGGCAUCUUUCAGUCACCUGCACCGAGAAACAAUAUUGCGAUUAGUUCAUGUUGAAAGCAUCAUAUCCAAAACAAAAUCAGUUCAUAUGCAGAAGUAGUUCAAAAGUUCAUAUGCAAAACUAAAGGAGUUGAGAAGGCCAUGUUUAAAAGUUCAUAUGCAAAAGUAGAGCACUUCAGAAGUUCACGUUUAAAAGUUCAUAUGCUAUCACAAAAAAACAUGUGCAAAAGUUCAAAAUCAUAGGGCGAGAACUUCUUGGCAAGAAGCACAAGUUCAUAGAACAUAGAGUUGUCUUACAUCUAGAAGUACAUCAAGUAUUUAGACUCGACAAAGUUCACAUUUAGGAGUAGAUAGUACAUAGAGUUGGUUUACAUCCAAAAGUACAUCAUCGCUAUCACACGUCUUGUUGGUACAAGUUCAUGGUACACAGAGUGUUACAAGUUUCAAAAGUCAUAGUCCUCAUCGUUUGGAUCAUCAGUUGGCCCGGGAGUUUCAUCGUCGCUGUCGCGCAUGUCGUCCCACCGUCUUGAAUCGUAGUCUGGAGGUGGACCGUCUGACUCAUCGUCUUCACCUAGACGGACUCGUUCAAGUAAAUUCAGGUCCAUGGGGUCUUCAAUGAUUUCAUCAACAUCUGGCUCAUCGCCUCCUUCCAUGCCAUCAUCUUCAUCUUGCUCACCGUCUACUUCCAUUUCAUCGUCGUCAGUGGGCAAGUGAAUACAAAAUUCUCCUAUGAGCCCAUCUUCCUGAUAGAACUCACCCUCAUAUGUGUUAGGAUUUAUGCGUUGGUAAUCUUCAUCGGUUGGAGCAGCUGGUUUACUAUGCGUGGGUACAUUGAUCACAACAUCCCAGCCCUUCAGGUUCUUCACAGUUUGGCAUGCAUAUGGUAGAUAGAAUACCUGCUUGGCCUGGUUAGCCAAAAUAUAGACAUCAUCUCCGUCAUACUUGUAUGCUCGCUGAAUUUCGACCAAUCCUAUGUCUGGGUGCCGCCUGACUCUGGUUGGGUCGAACCAAUGGCAUCUGAAUACAACAGGGUUUUGCCAGUCGCCCAAACCGUAAUCCAGCUCGAUCAUUUCCUCGACUCUACCAUAGUAGUAAAGUCCAUCUGACCCUAGUGUUUCGACCCCGCUGUUUAUUGUCUUUACACCGGGCCGGCUCAUGUCGUAACAAUGGGUAUGAAAGCGAUACCCAUUCACAUCGUAAGCAUUCAAUUUCUUGGCGGAACAUGUGAAGCCUAUGGCAAAAUCUUUCAAAUCGGCUCUCAUAGGGUCCCUUUUUGCCUACAAGUUCAAUAAGAAAAGUUUGAUGUAUGAGUUGAAAACGACACCAACUUGAAAUGUGGACACUAGAAGAAAGUUGGACAAAUUGGCAUACUUUUUCCGCGAACCAAGGAAUGAAACCGCCAUUUCCUUUACCGCCUUUUUUAAAGAUAUGUUCCCUCUCCUCUUCGGUAGGAGGCCUUUCUAGGUUCCAGCAUUCAAGUGUGAAUUCUCUGUAGCAAUUGGAAGGAAGUUAAGGCAUACACAAACUUAAUUGUGAUUAUUUGCGAAAAAUAUAGGAAGCACUUACUCAAUGUACGGUUGUACUUCAGGCAUGUUUGUCAACACGUACGACAUAAUAGUCAUCCACUCUGGAUGUUUUAUGUGUCUGGGUCUUCUACCACUUGCUCUGCCACCUAUCCCUGAGAAGAUGCUAAGCCGGGGUAGAUCGUCCGGGGUGAUGACAUUGUAACGAAGGAUUGGAUUGUGCUCAGUGGGAAUAUUGGCAUCAUAGUACUUUGUUGUGUUGUUUGACACCUCCUCAUUGAGGUAGGCCUCGACUAUAGAUGCUUCAAUACGACAUUUAUUCGUGCAUUUGGCACGAAGAUUCUUAUUUUCUCUCUCAGGUCCAUACAUCCAACGGUACUGCACAGCCCCCCCCCCCCCAGNNNNNNNNNNNNNNNNNNNNNNNNNNNNNNNNNNNNNNNNNNNNNNNNNNNNNNNNNNNNNNNNNNNNNNNNNNNNNNNNNNNNNNNNNNNNNNNNNNNNNNNNNNNNNNNNNNNNNNNNNNNNNNNNNNNNNNNNNNNNNNNNNNNNNNNNNNNNNNNNNNNNNNNNNNNNNNNNNNNNNNNNNNNNNNNNNNNNNNNNNNNNNNNNNNNNNNNNNNNNNNNNNNNNNNNNNNNNNNNNNNNNNNNNNNNNCCCCCCCCCCCCCAAACGCGCCUCAGACGGAAGAUGCAAGAUCAUAUGUUGCAUCGGAUUAAAGAAGCUUGGUGGAAAGAUCUUCUCUAGCUUGCACACCAACUCUGGUGCAUGUUUCUCUAGCUUGUCAACAAUUUUUGGGUCUAACUCUUUAGCACAAAGUUGACGGAAGAAAUAGCUUAACUCCGCCAGCACUCGCCAAAUCUCCUCGGAGACAAAGCCUCGAAUCAUCACCGGCAUCACCCGCUCAAGCCAGACAUGAUAAUCAUGGCUCUUGAGACCCCCUAUUCGCAAUGUAUUCAUAUUCACUCCCUUCAUUAUAUUUCCUGCGUACCCAUCAGGGAACCGCAAUUUAUCCAAGACCCACUUCAUCAUUACCUUCCUAUGCUUCCUUCCAGGGCAGAACGGGGCUGGUGGCUUGCACCACCCUUUUCUUUUGGGUCCGGGUUCGACCAUUUUUAAAUCUAGCCUAUCACAGAGUUUCUCUUGAUCAAGUCUGGCCUUGACGUUGUCCUUCGUCUUCUCAGUGUCAAAGAUUGUGCCAAAAAGGGCCUCGACGAUAUUCUUUUCAGUGUGCAUUACGUCAAUGUUAUGUGGGAGGAGGAGAUCCGCAAAGCAAGGGAGCCUCCAUAGGCAUGGUAUGUGAGUCCAGUUAUUUGUCUCUCCAUAUCCCACAAAACCUGACCCAUUGGCAUUGGGCUGGAGACCAUCUAACUGAGCCUUGAUCAUGUGACCGGUCAUCACAGGUGGUGGUGGAGCAUCCAUAACUUUACCUUUCUCGAAGUUUUUUUUGUCUUGUCUGAAUGGAUGAUCAGGAUGAAGGAACUGACGAUGCUUGUCAAAGCAGGUAUACUUCCCACCUUUCUUCAGCCAAUAGAACAUUACAUUCUGCAUACACACCGGGCAAGGCCACUUCCCAUGUACGCACCAACCGCAGAAGAUUGCACGUGCUGGUAGGUCAUGCAAGGAUGUGAAGUACCAAACAUACAUAUCAAAGUGUUUCUUUGUUAGGGCAUUGUAUGUCCGUAUCCCUUUAUCCCAAGCGACCAUCAAGUCAUCCACAAGCGGCUCCAAGUACAAACUCAUCUUCUUGCCUGGAUAUUCAGGACCUGGAAUUACCAGUGACACAAACAUGUAUUGUCGUUUCAUGCAGAAGCCAGGGGGGAGAUUCAUCGGAAUAACAAACACAGGCCAACGGCUGUAUGUGGCAUUAGUCAUACCAAAUGGAUUGAACCCAUCAAGUGUUAUCGCAAUAGCUACACUGUCCUGUUUACCAACUUUGUUUGGGUAUCGCUUAACAAAAUCCUUCCAUGCUUCAGCAUCAGACGGAUGUAUCACGACACCAGGCCGGUAUCUAGUCCCUUCUGCCGCCCACUUCAUGUUUUGGGCAGACUCCGCGGACAUAAAGAGACGUUGGAUCCUUCGUAUGGGAUCAAGAUACCGAAGGACCUUGUGUGGGAUCUUGAGCUGCCUCUUGUGACCAUCAUCACCGUCAACCUCAAUAUACCUAGAGGAUUGGCACUUUGGGCAGUAAUUAUCAUCCGCGUGUUCUUUCCUAAAUAAGAUACAUUUGUUUGGACAAACAUGUAUCCGCUCAUAUGGCAGCUUAAGUUCACUGAAGAUUUUGUUUGACUCAUACAUGUUCUUUGGCAAAAUGUUGUCUUUUGGCAAAAGAGUGUGAACAACGGUCAGAAGUGUAUCAAAGCAAGAUCUAGUCCAGCCAAACUGGGCCUUCACAGCAAGCAGGCGUGCCAUGCCAUCCAGUUGAGUGACCUCUGUAUGCCCGUGUAAGGGUCUCUGUGCCCCAUUCAAAGUUUCAUAGAACUUACUCGUCAUUUGCUCCUCAUCCUCCUCCCCCAGCCCCUCUUCACCUACGACAGGAUUUUUGGGCGCUGCAGCAUUUUCUAGGUCAUCUAGCAUGAAUUCAACAUGAGUAACAUAUUCGGGUGAGUCUGUGCGUUGUCGUACCACCGACUCUCUCGCACGCUGGGGCUCAAACUCACCAUGCGCGACCCACCGAUGGUAGUUUGGCAUAAACCCAUUCUUAAGAAGGUGCCAACCCAUUUCAUCCUUUGUUUUUUCCUUGUUGUUCCCACAACUGGUGCAAGGGCACCAAACUCCACCAUGUCUUGUGUGUCUGGCAAAUGCUACUUCCAAGAACUGAUUUGUCUUUGUAAUCCAUUCUGGAAGCACAUCCCCUCCACUCAGUCGUCCACUAUACAUCCACUCACGAUCCUCCAUCUGAUGUGUUUUUCAUUGACCAAGUAGUUUCAACCAGUAUUAGUUCAAUUAAUUACAACUAUUCAAUUUUUACGGCAUGAACUCAAAACUACCUAAUAGGUAAGGAUGGGUCCUAAUCCCACCCGAGGAUGUGUAGGUUGGCUUCGCUUUCAUGCCCUACUCCGAUCCGACACAGAAUUUUGGCAGCACCUCCCCGCUGUUCUCGAAAUACACGUCUCGACAUAAGCAGAGAGAAUGUGUAUCCGGAGAACAACGGGGAGACGCUGCCAAAAUUCUGUGUCGGAUGGAGUAGUGCAUGAAAGCGAAGCCAGCCUACACAUCCUCGGGCUGUCCGUGGAAAACGCUGGACAAUUCGAAAGAGUUACGGUUAUAAAUAUGCAAAGAGUUGCAUAUUUAUAAAUAAUGUAACUUUUUCGAACGGGAGACACAUAGGUAACGCGACUAGCUAGCUACAUGAUUUACAUAUAUAUAAAUCCUUUGAGGCAAAUUAUUCUUACCCUCGAAGUGUGCUCGGCAAUGGUUGUCCCUCCAGCAAAAAGCCUUGCCACGACCCUUCCAAUGUCAAAUUGAUGUGUGUCCUACAAUAAAGUGAAAACUAGAAUCAAACAUAAUUCACAUGCACAAACCAAAACACAACAUAUUCUACAGUUCCUUAAUAAGUCGUUCUUCGUUUAUUUGCCACCCGACAUGUUUGAUAAUUAUCCAUGUUCCUCGUGUUAUAUCAUCCAUAGUUACUAUUACUUCAAAAUUAAACUAACCCAAGAAAUUAUUAGCAAGACCAAAUUCCAAAUGGCUUUCUUUGAUGUAAUUCUCAAACAAAUCAGAUUUUCUGUUGUUUUCUGUUGCACCACCUUUCAAACACCUUUCUCAAACUAUAAUGUAAGAAUCUACAACCUUUCAAACAUUUCAGGUUGUUUUCUGUUGCACCACCAACAAACAAAUGAAUCUCUGAUUUUAAAUCACCUAAAACUUGACACCACUUCAUAGCAUAUCUGCAUAUCCACCUUAGCUACAUAGAUACAUGCACCACCGAAAAUGAACCUUCCACCUCAAAUAAUGCUAGGAGGAGCACCUUGCUGCUGGAGGAAAAUCUUCUAGCACCUUGCUGCUGGAGGAGCCUAGUCUGUGAGCACCUUGCUGCUGGAGGAGCCUAGUCUAUCUGCAAAAACAGAAACACCCAGUCAGAGAGAUAAGAGAGAGAGAUAUAGGGAGAGAGAGAGACUUACCAGUGCAGGGGCCGGUGGAGGGGGCUGGCGCAGGGGCGGUGGAGGGGGCCGGUGCGGUGGAGGUAGUUGGGGUGGGGAGCUCGGUGCAGGGGCAGCAGUGGUGGGAUCUGCUGCGCGAGGUGGAGGGGAGAGGUGAGUGAGCGCAGGAUUUGGAAAAAAAACCAGAAAGCGCGGUCUAUUUUGGAGAAAGCGCGCGUGAUAUUUGGCUAACUCCCGCGUUUUCUGUAUAUGGAGUAAGCCGGGAGCAAAAAUGUAAGCCGAGUGCCCUAUGACAAGUACACACAGCUUACACAUGAAAAUAUGUUCAUGUGUGUGCAAAUUCGUGUUUAACUUCUAUUUUGAAUAUUCGUGUUUUUAACUUCCAUGACAUUCAUCUGGUAUGGUAUUUAAUUACUUCAAAUUCACAUCAUAGUUUUUUUAUUGACAUGACCAAGAAAUACCUAGAGCAAUACUGUAAGGUUUUUAGAUUACUAUUAAGGCAUUACGUAUAGUGCCAAAUUUUAUUUCUUUUACAUACUUCGAGAAAAUAAAAAUGUUGGUUGCACUAAAUCUAAUCUUGAAACUUUGGCAGGAAUAAAAUCGGUUUCUUUAUGGCUCUGAACCAUAUGAUGUCCUAUGUGAUGUAUUUGUGACAUGGGUAUGCCUUGUGCAGUCGUGGGAGGGGCAGCCCCAGUCCUCAGGAUCAGGCACGACGUCAUCACAUGCCCCUUGUAGGGUGUCGUAAAAGUUUGGACGCGGUCUGGGUGGGCCUUACCCGAGGCCGUUUGUAAACUGCACCAUCUUCGAGGUAGUCUCUUGGUAUCGAGAGGGAACGUGUCACGUUUGUGAAGGAAGUGUCGGUCAUGUUGCUCCGUUGGCAUCGAAACUCCUCGUGCUCUCAGAGGAGGCCAUCAAAUAACACGUGUCAGGCCCCCGCAUUUUUCUGACCCGCCUACAAUAUUUGAGACAUUAUUGCAAUUCUAGGGUUUCAGUGUCGUAAAUUGCAGAUCUGCAAGGCGACACAUGAAAUCAUGCCCAGAAGAAGCAUGGAAAAUCCUAUGUGAUGUAUUUGUGACAUGGGUAUGCCUUGUGCACUCGUGGGACGUGCAGCCCCAGUCAUCGGGGGUACGAAAUCACUUGGGUGACAUGCCUCAUCAAACCGUUUGAAGCCUCGGAAAAUGGUACGAUGCCAGACAUCAUCACAUGCCCCUUGUACGGUGUCGUAAAAGUUUGGACGCGGUCUGGGUGGGGCUUACCCGAGGCCGCUUGUAAACUGCACCAUCUUCGAGGUAGUCUCUUGGUAUCGAGAGGGAACGUGUCACGUUUGUGAAGGAAGUGUUGGUCAUGUUGCUCCGUUGGCAUCGAAACUCCUCGUGCUCUCAGAGGAGGCCAUCGAAUGACACGUGUCAGGCCCGUGCAUUUUUCUGACCCGACUACAAUAUUUGAGACAUUUAUUGCAAUUCUAGGGUUUCAGUGCCGGAAAUUGCAGAUCUGCAAGGCGACACAUGAAAUCAUGCCCAGAAGAAGCAUGGAAAAUCCUAUGUGAUGUAUUUGUGACAUGGGCAUGCCUUGUGCAAGCGUGGGAGGGGCAGCCCCAGCCAUCGGGGGUACGAAAUCACUUGGGUGACAUGCCUCAUCAAACCGUUUGAAGCCUCGGAAAAGGGUAGGAUGCCAGAAAUCCUUAGGAUCAGGCACGACGUCAUCACAUGCCCCUUGUAGGGUGUCGUAAAAGUUUGGACGCGGUCUGGGUGGGGCUUACCCGAGGCCGUUUGUAAACUGCACCAUCUUCGAGGUAGUCUCUUGGUAUCGAGAGGGAACGCGUCACGUUUGUGAAGGAAGUGUCGGACAUGUUGCUCCGUUGGCAUCAAAACUCCUCGUGCUCUCAGAGAAGGCCAUCAAAUGACACGUGUCAGGCCCCCGCAUUUUUCUGACCCGCCUACAAUAUUUGAGACAUUUCUUGCAAUUCUAGGGUUUCAGUGUCGGAAAUUGCAGAUCUGCAAGGCGACACAUGAAAUCAUGCCCAGAAGAAGCAUGGAAAAUCCUAUGUGAUGUAUUUGUGACAUGGGUAUGCCUUGUGCAGGCGUGGGAGGGGCAGCCCCAGCCAUCGGGGGUACGAAAUCACUUGGGUGACAUGCCUCAUCAAACCGGGUGGGCACGUUCCGGGUGGGCCCACAACUAUUUGAGACAUUUAUUGCANNNNNNNNNNNNNNNNNNNNNNNNNNNNNNNNNNNNNNNNNNNNNNNNNNNNNNNNNNNNNNNNNNNNNNNNNNNNNNNNNNNNNNNNNNNNNNNNNNNNNNNNNNNNNNNNNNNNNNNNNNNNNNNNNNNNNNNNNNNNNNNNNNNNNNNNNNNNNNNNNNNNNNNNNNNNNNNNNNNNNNNNNNNNNNNNNNNNNNNNNNNNNNNNNNNNNNNNNNNNNNNNNNNNNNNNNNNNNNNNNNNNNNNNNNNNNNNNNNNNNNNNNNNNNNCCCCCCCCCCCCCUACACGGUCUAUAGCCGACAUGAGAGACAUUCCUGUGGUAAAAUGAAUAAAUAAGUAACAUUCAGGGAUUAAAGAUAAAUGCAAGGGAAACCACUUUAGAACUUUUUUGAAUUUGAAAAUCUAUAAAAUAUAAACCGAGUGCUUUUGCAGAACACACGGCAUAUAGUGUGUAAGCCGUGUCUACUUACCAAGCACACGGCGUAUACUAUGUGUAAGCCGUGUGUUCUUGUCAAGCACACGGCUNNNNNNNNNNNNNNNNNNNNNNNNNNNNNNNNNNNNNNNNNNNNNNNNNNNNNNNNNNNNNNNNNNNNNNNNNNNNNNNNNNNNNNNNNNNNNNNNNNNNNNNNNNNNNNNNNNNNNNNNNNNNNNNNNNNNNNNNNNNNNNNNNNNNNNNNNNNNNNNNNNNNNNNNNNNNNNNNNNNNNNNNNNNNNNNNNNNNNNNNNNNNNNNNNNNNNNNNNNNNNNNNNNNNNNNNNNNNNNNNNNNNNNNNNNNNNNNNNNNNNNCUUGUCAAGCACACGGCUUAUAGUGUGUCUAAGCCGUGUGUACUUGUCAAGCACACGGCUUAUAGCUCAAGCCGUGACGGCGCCGUCAAACACCGUUGUUGUAGACACGUGGCGGGUACCUUUACCGGGUGACACGCUAUAAACCGAAUACUUUCUUCAUAUAUACCGUGUGAAAACUAUAAGCCGAGAGCUUUUUUUGGACACUCGGCUUAUAUGAUAGCAUAAGCCGAGUGCAUUGUUUUUACCUGGUGUUUUUGCUUGUGUACACGGCUUAUAUUUAAAUAAGCCGAGUACCCGAAAAAAAAAACACGAUUUAUAGCUUGCCACACGGUAAAACGUGAUUUUCCUGUAGUGGCAGCAGCAAGAAUCACAAUCGCCGGCGGGCAGCAGCCGGCGGCGAACGGAGGCUUUUCCGGGGAAAGAACUGCAGGGUGCUACAAGUAGUUCGGUUGUGCGAGAGAAUAUCAAUGCUAAUCGUAAAAUGGGCUAGUAGAAGAGCAGCACCGAUCCACAAAAUGGGGCCUGUUACAAGGCGAUAUCAAUGCUAAUCGCAAAUGCCGUUUUAGGAUACACUUUUAGUGGGGAUUGGUUUUUAGUCUGUAAUCUUUCACACGGAUUUGGUAAGGCUAGCUCUACAUUUAAAAAAAUCAUGGUGUACUUUUACUUUCCAAACAGGAAAAGGAAAGAAUUCUCAAAAAAAAAAAACAGGAAAAGGAAAGAAAAGACAUUGAACACCAACCCGCACGCUACAGAUGCACCUACGAAGCGACCGGAGAAAAAAAAAGGCAAUGUCAUAAAAAAGGAACUACAGUAGUUCGAGCCGGCCCACGUGGGGUGUUCAACGGGCGACCCGCUUUAUGGGUGAGCUAGACGCGCCCUGUGCUAAUUGCCUCCUAAGUCACCCUGGGCGUCCGGCUAUUUCAGUUCGGGUAGUUUGAUUUAUGGGUAAGUUGGGUACUUCAAAAUGAAAACCGAAUUUUUUUUUCUGCCAAAAAGAUAUCCGAACCCAAAUUAUCCAAAAUUUUGGUUCGGGUACAAAAACCCCAAAAUAUUCGAAGCAUACAUCAAAUUUUAAUAUAAAUAUAAUUUGGAUAGUAUGCAUAUUUCAUGAAGAUGUCAUUCCAUCAAGUAGGAUAGAUCUAAAGAUGCCGUUGCAUACAAAAACCUGGCUAAUCUCUGAACGGAUGACUGAAUUUUUGGCCGAAACGUUACAUGACACACUAACAUAGAAGGAAACUGACAUAUCUGGAGGCAGAGAGGCAAAAGCUUUGAUGUUGGAGACCCAGCUGUUGUCGUUGAUGUCCAUAACCUGUGCCAAACUAUGAUCGAUGAGCCACCUUUGCCGUUGCCGUCACCCUGUCAUGAUGGUUCUGCAGUUUCAGAUUGGUGGAUGAAACCCACAGGAACAUCCGGUCGUCAUCUCCAUCAGUGCCUCACUCGUCACAUCCGAUCCUCUGACAUGCAACUCAUGAAGCUGAGUAAACAGUAAAUAAUGCUGGAAAUUCUGACCUGAAGGCAGAGUUGGACACUCCAGUUUGGUAGCACUUGCUCUGUUUCCUAAAUAAAACAUGAAAAUUUACUCCUGACUAAACUGUGCUAGAAGAGUCACUACAUACAAACAAAAAAAGGAACGUCAUUUGCUCUCACAACAAAAAUGGAGUAGCAGCUCACACACGCAGUUGGUGAUACAGUGACUAGUGAAACCACACGGAAAGAGAUAUAAAAAAGGUCAUUCUUCUAAAAUAUCACGGAACAUAUUUUUAAACAGUGGACAAUUUUAAUUGUAAUAUUCAUCGCGUAUGAAGAAAUGUUCAUCAAAUGUUUAGAAAAGUUUGGUAGAUAUUAAAUAAAAGGUUCAUAGUGCAUCAAACAAUAUUCGCCGCGUAUUUAACAUGUAUAACAAACACUGUUCAUUGUUUGUGUAAAAAAGGCUCAUGGGAUAAUGAAAAUUAAGUAUCAUUUGUUGAAAAUUAGCAUCAUUUAUUUGAAAACGUUUUAUUUUGUUGAAAUGUGUUUUAUCAUUUUCAUUUAAAUUUUGUUUCCAAAUCUUUAAUAAAUAUUUGUUUAUUUUUGAAAAAGUGCUCGUACAUUUAAAAGAUUGAUGGUGUACUUUUGAAAACAGGAAAAGGAAAGAAAAAACGUUGAACACCAACCCGCACGCUGCAGAUGCAUGGACCAAGCCACUUGAGGGACGCUCCCUGUGCAAAUUGCCUUGUGAGGGAAAUGAUGAAACUCUACCUUCUUAAACUCUCUAUGAAUGUAGCAAAUUUUGCUGAUGAAUGUCUCACUUCACCCUACUUGGGGAUCUAUGAAUGUUCGGAAGCUUAAACUCUCUUCUCGAAGCGAUAUGCCCCUUCAAUUCUUGAACAAGACUGGAGCAUCUAGCUUAGCCACAUCCUUUCCUGAUGCUAACGACAUUGACAAAGGUUUGUGGUACGUACAGGCCCACUCAAGGAUCGCCGGUAACUGGGGAGCUAGAGCCAGUGCUACCAUUCCAUGCACGCCUGCAACUCUGUCCAAGAUGCAGCCGCACAUACAUACAUAUAUAUAUACUGUCUGUCUCGGAAUAAUACAUGUAUACCACACAACCAUGACCAUGAGUACGUGUUUCAGCAGCUUCUGUACGUACAUGCUUGCUACUGACGGAAGGUCACAGCUACAGACAUCUGAGCCGGACAGGGUUGUUUCAAAUCAGACACACAUCACACAGAGUCAUUCAUUUUUUUAAAAAGAAGGCCUCGCCCCGGCCUCUGCAUACACAGAGUCAUUCAUGACGAACAAGAAGGGCGUGUUCGGCUUCCAACCGCUCCGCGACUCAACUCUUGGAGCUGGCCGAGUUGAAGUGAAAAAUCAUGGAGCUCGGGAAUAGAUGCACCGCAGAUCCUUAAUUUUUGUGAAGCUGGUGUGUUGCCGAACAGCUCCCAAAUACAGUGGCAUGCCAAAGUUACCGGCGAUAGAUCCACGCCUGCAACUCUGUCCAAGAUAGAGGACGCACAUAACAUAACUUGGCGCAUUCCGUGGAACAGGAAAAUACAGUGACAUAGUACUUAAAUUAAGUAUCACAGAAUUCUUGGCUCACAAACAAAAGCACGGCAAUAGACUAGGUUGGUUGUAGUGAUGGUGUUUUUUUUCGAAAAGGAGGCCUUGCCCCGGCCUCUGCAUCGAGAGAUGCAUACAGCCAUAUAUUAAUCAAAAUAAGUAUUCAGAAAGUAUAGAGUAUAUGAAAAAACAAAAAGAUACAAGGCGAACAUCGCGCCGCAGCCUGGAGUGGCUAAAAGAUCAAGAUGACUAAACACCUAUCCUAUUAAUAUGCCGCCAUCCAAACCGGUUGAAGAUACCCUGUGCUACCAUCUCCCAACAGGCACACCCAGUAACCAUAAGCUCCCUGGCUGCCACCGGAGUUAGUGACGACCAUGUGCGGAUCAGUGCGGUAAUUCGGUAGAUAACCUGCAAGAAUUGGAUGUCACGAGAGCCUUGACAGCUUGCUAAUCUUUAUGGCAGGCAUUUCUCCAUGUCUUGGGCUUCAUUAGACUAGGCUCUGUUCACAAGUGGCGUCACAGGAAAUUCGUAAGAACUAAUGCAGCAUCAGAGAUUACACUAAUGCAGUGAAGGUACGAAAAAGAAUAGAUGUAAACUCCAAUGUUGGUUGUCGUCGUGUUGUUACCGUUAUCUUUGCUGUGUGCUGUUACCAUUAUCUAACUACUCCCUCCGUUCCUAAAUAUAAGAUCUUUUAGAGAUUGCACUAUAAACUACAUACGGAUGUAUAUAGACAUAUUUUAGAGUAUACAUUCAUUCAUUUUACUUCGUAUGUAGUCUCCUAGUGAAAUCUCUAAAAGGUCUUAUAUUUUGGAACGGAGGGAGUAGUUGAUUGAAUAUAUUCUCUAGUAAGUGCACAUGUGUAUGUAAUGCAGCCCCCACAAAAAAAACAGAGUCUCCUUGUUUAAUUACGACUUAUCUACCUGACUAAAGAAAUUGAUCCAGCUCAAGUAGUACGUAUUAUAUCUGGAAGGAUGUCUCAAUUUGUUGCUGAAACGUGACAAACCAAUAGACAAAGAAACUGACGAGUGCGCACAUACCUUGAUAGCUUGCAUCUAGACUUUUGUACCCGAGGCUGCUUAGACAUUGUUGCAGGCCUGUAGGGAGCAUCUUUAUACCAGGACAGUUUCGAAUCCUAAGAGACCGGAGAGAUGCGUAUGAUUGCGGCCCAUCAGGUAGGGAUGACAGGCUUUUGCAAUUUACAAUAGAAAGGCUCUCCAACGAUGGGAACUCUCCAGAGUGAGAUUCCACUGAUCUCAACUCGCAGCACUUAAAAACGGUAAUUUCCUUGAGGGAUGGGGGGAGACCGAGGACCCCUGUUAAGCCGUCACACCGUGAUAUCAAUAUCUCUUCUAAACAUGGAAAGCGAAAAUGUUUCACCCUGGCUACGGCUGAUGGUGAUGUCACCUCUGAAUGUACAGGUGACCCUUCAAGAAUCGAUGAUGCUGACUCUCCACUCUGCAGACUCCUGCUGAAUAUGGAUUUGAGCUUACUGCAAUCCUCAAUUCUCAUAUUCCUCAGGGAUGCAGGGAGUUUGAAGAUCUCUACCAUGCUUUCACAACCCCAUAUCUCGAGAGACUUGAGAUGUGGCAGGGGCUGACUCGAGGGUUCUGAUACUGUUGAUGGCUCAGCUGCAGGAGCAUCUCCGCAUCCAACCAGUUGUUUGCAGUAUCUAAUCUGUAGAGUCCUCAAUGACACCAAGCUUUGGAACUCUUUCUCUGGCCAGUGGACAAGUGCAGCACAAUCACGAAUGUACAAGUGCUGAAGCUGUACAAAACAUGCACAUAGCUCGGUUACACCUGACUUUAAGCCAUUUAAGCUCAUCUCUGCCAGAGGGAAAUCAUGAUGAUUCCAUUUUUCCCUGGCGUUCACCACUUGUGUACUAUAACUAUGAUCACCCACCGCUACCGAGGUUGUUUCCGUGUUUUUACGGUUCUGCAGCUUCAGAUUGGUCAACGAAGUCAAAUAUCUAGCUAACCACAGGAAUAGUUCUUCCUCGCCUCCCUCAAAGUCUAACACGGUCAGCUUUGGCCAUUUAGCAUUCAUUGCCAGCUUUGGACAAUCUGUAACACACAACUUCUCAAGCUGAGGAAACAGUAUGUCUUUCUCCUCAUUUGUUGUUUCCCACAAUCCUUCCAAACAAUCCAGACCUUGUAGUGUAAACUCCUUCAGAUUUGGAAAAGUGAAGGAUGUGCCACAACUGAAUAACCAUUGAAGUUUUUUACAAUCGGAAAGAUGGAUCUCAACCAUGUUUAGCAAGAUAGCCAUCCAUGUUGGAAAGGUGGUGCCUCCGUAGGAUUCUAUCCUUGUAGCCUGCAGCCCAUCAUGAGGUUCGAGACCCUCGAGCACUCUUGCAUCAUCCCUACCACCAACGGUCCAUCUUAAUGACAAUUCUCGAAGUUCCUUCUUGUUUUUGAGAUUUGCUGCUUUUGCAUCUUCUUCUGUCACAUUCUCUAGUUGAUGUAUCUGCAGCUCACCACCAAGGUUUAACUGUUGCAACUCUCCAACACCACUGCACUCAGAGCCAGCAGGACCUGCUACAAAACAUGUAAGUGUCUGUAGUGACAUGAGUUUUCCUAGAUCACCAGGCAUGUUCCUCAUCCCUGGACAAUUAUGAGUGUAGAGAUGACGGAGGGCAGUCAUAUACUUCAACUGCCUUGGAAGCCGACAAAGUUGAUAGCAGCCAGAGACAUUCAAUGUUUGCAGGUUAUAUAAAAUGCUAAUAUCUUCCGGAAGUGCUUCAAUACCACUGUUUGAGAUAUCAAGGUUCCUUAAGUGCGGCAGAUGCCUUGAUUUCAAGGGGAAUACCCUGCUCCAUGUAUAGAGCUGUAAUGCCUUCAAAGAGCUGUAUUUUGAUAAAUGCUGCAGUGGAUGUUUCAUUUUCCUAUCGCACAGAAGUGUCUGCAUUGCUGGAGAUAUUUUCGCCAGAGAAUCAUUCAAAUUAAUUUCUGGUUCUUCACAAGACAAAAGUAAGUGGCGAGCUGUAUCUGGAAGCCAAUCAGUCUGACCUGGCUUCUCAGGUGCGAGAGCACAUUCUUUUUCCAUUGUAGAUAGUGCAACAUCAUGCAUCAGAUCGUGGAUUUUACAUGUAUGCUUGGAAUAAUUAUCCCUCCUACUACGCUCGUUGAAUGAGACUCGGACUUGCUUCACUUCCACAAAGAAUGACCUUGAGGCCAGCUCAUUGAAAAUCCAUUGGCCAAUUGUCUCAGGACGGACUUCUUUUUGUUCCUGGAUAAAACCAUGUGCGAUCCAUAGUUGGAUCAGCUUGUCCACAUCAAUUUCAUAAUCCUUGGGAAACACAGCACAGAAAGAAAAGAGUAAAAGGCGCUGACGGUCAUAGAACUUGUGUUGCGGGUGCACUUAAGUCCCGCUACUUGCAAACCGAAAAAACCCGUCACAGAACUUGCGAUGCGGGCUUAUCUAGGUCACAACCGCCAGUUGGACCGGUCCGCUGCCCGGUUUUCUUCGUUCGCGGUCACGCGAGGCUCACGUGUGAUGUUAUUUUUGCACAGAAGACCCUGGUGAUUAACGAUGAGGGGCGUAUUGCACAUUUGACAUAUGAUAAAUCGUUUUUCCCCUUCCUCUGUUUUCGUUGCUGUGUUUGCUCCUCCUUCCAGAUCCGAACUCGCGUCAGAAAUAACCAGGCAAAAUGGGGGGCGGCGUGGGUGGCAGUGAUGUGGCCUUUGUUGGAGGUGCAGGCGGCGCAACAACUGGAGGGAUUUCGUCCGCGUCUCGCAUCCCGGACUCGCGGAUCUUCCCACAAGAGGUGUGGCAGCGCGGUGAGCCGGAGAUGCGGCCCGAACGCGGCCGCGUUCUCAUCGCUCGCGCUUCUGGCAUGGCGGCGCUCGAGCGGGCGUUCCUGGGGCAUGCAUUGUAUGCCGUCAUCAUCGGACAGCCACGGACGAAGGUGACGCCGGAGGCACUCGCCGCGGUGGUAGAGUUCGAGUCUGGCAUCCUGCCGUCGCAGAUGACAGUGGAGGUAACCGGCCCACCAUUCCACUUCUUUUUGCGGUUCCAUUCAGUGGAGGAUUGCACUCGUGUGGUGUACGCAUCGGAACAUCUGCGCUGCGGCGGAAGCAGGAUUGGUUUUCAGAGGUGGUCAAGCUGGUCGCGUGGCAAGCCGUCGCAGCUGUCGUUCAAGACGACGCUUAGUUUUGAGGGGCUACCGGAAGAGGCGUGGGAUGAAGACACUAUAAACCUGGUGCUCGCAGGUGUCGACGGCGAGUUCAUCGACAUGCUCCCUUCUACAGACAAGUGGUUGCUGCAUUGCACGGCGUGGCUACGCAAUCCUAGCGCAGUGCCGAAGUUGCUUACUGUGUCUGUGCCUGCACCUUCUCUGCAACCCUGGAAGCCAGACUCUGAUGACGAGAAUGCUCAUUCACCGCCGCGUCCGCUCUCUCCAACUGAUCGUCGAUGCAUCGAUUAUACUGUGAUCAUGCAUGUGAAGGAGGUCAUUGACCGUGGGCCAUUGCUAACAGAAGGUUUGGCUGAUGAAUUCCUCCCUGACGAAGGUGUUGAUCUAACACGCAAGCACAAAUUUGCAACCUGGCGAGGCAAGAUAGAUGGCACUGGCCCUGGAACAAAUGGCAAAGCUUAAGAGCACUGUAAUAGCUAUCUUGUUAUGAUGUACUGUAAUAGCUAUCUUGUUAUGAUGUACUGUAAUAGCACUGUAAUAGCUAUCUUGUUAUGAUGUACUGGCCCUGGAAUUCUAUUUGUUCAUGAUGUACUGGAGAUGUCAGUUGGACUUGUUUCAGUAAACAACAAACAAAUGAUCUGCUGCAACAUAGUACUUCCUUCCUUCAGCAUAAGUCAUAACAGUUCCAGUACUGAACUUAGUCAUAAUAGUUCCAGUACCAAAAGUCAUAAUAACUUAGUACACAAUAAAAUAAAAACAACAGUUGGACAUUUCAAUUUCACUCUUCAAUUCCUGGAGCUCCUUGUGUGGUCUGGACUUCAUCUUCCACAGUUUGUGAGCUUGUUCCUUCACCAAAUAGUAGCCACUGCAAACCCCUUGUCUUGGUUGGUUUCUUUGCUCUUUGCAACAACCUUGUAGUAGCUGCACUUCUCCUUGAUCUGCUUCCUCUUGUUCCUCCACCUCCUCUUCUACCUCUGCCUCUGCCACUGCCACAUGUUGAGGCUACUCUUACUCAUGUGGUUGUUGUAGUUGUUGCUGGAUGUGCACCACCAGUGGGCCCUGAUAAGUUGGUUCUGCUCUCUACUACAAAUGCACUUUCUUCUGGUAUUCUGUGAGCCCUGUUAAUAGGAACACCUUUUGCAGGUCCCUAUGAGAGGAGUUAAUAGGAACAAUUAGUGACCUAUUCUCAAAGAUAAUUUUAAAUUUAGUUCUAAUUCUUUUACCUCAUGUGACAAUAUGUGCACCAUGCUUUCUUUGAUCUGUGUUGGGUCCAUUUGUGGCCUCAUAGGUUUUUGUUUCAUGUGCUAGUAAACAAAAAAACAAACAAUGUUGUCAGCAUCCAUUAUAAUUAUUUGCAACAUUUGCAAAAUUGAUGUGUUGAUACUUACUGUUAGGAUCACUGGGAAGUCCACAUCUCCACACUCAUCAACAAUCUUUUUGGACUUCUUUUUCUUUGCCUUCUCCAUCAUUUCUUCUAUCUGUUGCAACAUCUUAUCAGUAGGCUUUCUUUUCCUGCCCCUUUUAGUUUGUGCUGUAGGUUGCUCAGUGCCAGCAUGCUCCUCUUCCACCUCUUCUUCAUUUUGUUGCUCAUGCACCUCUUCUUCAUUUUCUUGCUCAUGUACCUCCCUUUCAGUUUCUCUUAAUAUAGCACAUUUCAGUAGUGAGCAUCCACUUCUGUUAUGCCCAGGUAGUUUACAAUACCCACAGUGCAUAAUUGCUCCAUGCCUGCUUAGUUUAGUGCCAUCUUCAUUCUCCUCUGGUUGCUUCCUUCUAUUCUUCCUCCUCCUCCCAGCUUUUUUCUCAUAGUGUGGUGGCAGUACAUGUGUUGCAUUUACUGGGGACCACUCAUCUUUGUCCCUGGUUGGAUAUAUCUGAACUCCAUAAGCACACAGAUAUGUCUGCAGUGAAUAACAGGAAGAAACCAUGGUCUCUGGCCUAAUUCUUUCAUGUCUGCAGCAAGCACAUGCAUGGCUACAUGGGAUUCCAGUAAGCUGCCACCUUCUGCAAGUACAUGUAUGCAUGUUCAGCUCAACAAUGUAGGUUUUCUCAUUGGACAAAACUCCAAACACACCCAUGCCUGAUUCUUCUGGGUGGCAGUUGGCUGACAACUCAACAUUCUUCCUUAGUUUGUCCCUAACUUUGGGAGUAAUAUGUCCUGUCCAUUUUUGAAGAGCUUCUUUUUGUUUUGACAUGUGUCUAUGCAUUAACUGAGAUCUUAUUCUCUCAUACAUAGACAUGACAGGUAGCUCUCUGGCUUCUAGUAUAUACCUGUUGAAUACUUCCCAAGUAUUGUUCAAAAGAAUGUCACAUUUUGGAAAUUCACUAAAAAAUGCUCUAGACCAUUGAUUUGGUGGCUUUUCCUCCAACCAUGCAUAUGCUGCUGCAUUGUCUUGCCUCAACUUGUCCAUAUUCUGCUCAAAUACAGUAGGUGUGGUUGAUUUUGCACAAAUCCAGAGUUGUUGCCUGAUAGUUUCUCCCUUGUGGACUGCAUGGAGAUUUUCAUACAAGUGUCUGACACAGAACCUAUGCUCAGAGUCAUGAAAAUGCUCCUGCACAGCUUUGAUGAGGCCCUUUUGUUUAUCACUCAUAAUAGUGAAUGUGCUAGUGUUCAUGAUAUUUAGAUCUUGCUUUAGUGUAUACAAGAACCAAGACCAUGAUGCAUAGCACUCUGUCUCCACCACUGCCAUUGCAAUUGGAUAUAUAGAAUCAUUCCCAUCUAUUCCAACUGCAGUAAGUAGUUGCCCACCAUAUUUUGUCUUUAUGAAAGUACCAUCAAGACAUAUUAUUGGCCUGCAGCCCUUUAACCACCCUAUCUUGCAUGCUGCAAGACUAAAGUAACAUGUGCUAAACAAUCCAUUUUCUAGGUUUAGAUAGAAAGAAGAUCCUGGGUUGGUUGUUCUCAAUUCCUGUGCAUACUUCCAAAGAAGUGUAUAUUGCUUCACCUCAUCCCCAUGCACCACAGCCAAUGCUGCUUUCCUAGCUCUCCCUAGUUUAUGCCUGCUUACUUCCAUGUUGUAUUUCUUCCUCACUUUCCUUGCAAAUGUAGACAAAGACAUCUUGUCAUUGUCCCUGAACAUCUCCACAUAUUUUUUGGCCAGAAAAGGGGCUGUAAGUUCUUUCACAUCCCAUACUUUCUCACAAUUAUGCUCUCCAACAAAUGUUUUGACAAGAAAGGAUUGGGUCCUGUUAUCUGCCACAGCUACAAGUUUCCAAGGGCAACCCUCUGUACAUACUGCCUCAAACCUCUUUUUGUUAUUUCUUUUUUUCUUGAUCUGCACUCUGUUCUUAACUGCAUAAUGUGCUACUGCAGUUCUCAACAACUCCACUGAAUCAAAAACCAUACCUAGUUUGAAUUGAGGAUUUUCCAUCUCAACUAGUGGGUUGAAUGUUUUGAACCUGUAUAUGGGUUUCUCUUUCUUUUUCUUCUUCAUGUACUCCUCAUCAUCAGAGUCACUCUUCUGCAUCUUCUCACAAUCAUCUUCUUCUGGUAGCUACAGUUCCUCUUCAGUAACAUCAUCUGAGCCUGGAACAUGUCUGUACUCAGCUCCUACUUUCUUCCCCUGCUCAAGCAAUGCAUCCUUCACAGCAUCAUCUACAUUUUUAUCAUACAAAUCAUCAUCAUCAUCCACUGCAUAAUCACUAUCAUACCAUGUUGGAUCAUGCUCUGAAUCACAUUCCCAUUCCUCUUCUGCAUCUGAUGACUUGUCUGAACUAUCUGCAUCUUCAGCACUCUUUGUAGUAGCUGUGUUGCUCUCUUUUUUCAUAUGCCUCCUUUUCUCUUCCCUCAUAGGGCUAAGUAUUACUUCAGGCAAUUCAGGCCCAACCCUAUAAGCAAUGUCAUCUUCCUCAUCCUCCAAUUCUUUAAUCUCAGUUCUUUUCACAUGCUUCACAAACAAAACAAGCACCUUUGAAUUAACAGAAGCUUCAGCCAUCUUCAAACAGUCCACUUCAAAAUCAAUUGACACCAUUUCUGAAAUUGUCUUACCAGGUGGGCACCAGAAAACAAUGUCCAACUCACAAGGUGGAUAUCUCAGCUAACCCAACAUAUAGUCAAUCAUAUCAUUGCAGAAAGUGUUCCUAUCAAGGUUAUCAAAGAAUGCUACUUUUUCAUCCAAAUAAGCCAAAUUAAUUCCUUUUCCCAUGAAAAAGCCACCAUGAUGAAUCUCAAUACUGAACUUUACUGAAUCCGAACCUACAUUGCGAAAAUCAUGGAAGAUUAGCCCUAGAUCGGCCGCUGAGGGGGAGGAAAACUAAACCUACGGGAGGGGAGGGGGAAGAAACUGACCGUAGAUCGGCUGGCAAACAUCUUCUGUACUCAACUUCAGCAACCUCUCCAUCACCUCCAUCAGCUCAUUACUUCCCGCCGACGAGCUCGACGCACCAGCACGGCGGCCGCCUGUCGCCUCCCUCAUCUGUCCUAAGGCAGGGACGUCUCCAAGUGAUUACCAAAACGACCAGGGUCUUCUGUGCAAAAAUAACAUCACACGUGAGCCUCGCGUGACCGCGAACGAAGAAAACCGGGCAGCGGACCGGUCCAACUGGCGGUUGUGACCUAGAUAAGCCCGCAGCGCAAGUUCUGUGACGGGUUUUUUCGGUUUGCAAGUAGGGGGACUUAAGUGCACCCGCAACACAAGUUCUAGGGCCGCCCCGAGCUCCUCGCCCCCGAGCUCCGGCACCGCCGCCCCCGAUCUCCUCCACCGCCCCCGAUCUCCUCCACCGCCACGAGCUCCAUCCACACCUCCGGCCUCCUCCAACGCGGGCUGUCGAAGGUGAGCUCCCCUGCUCCGGAUCCCUCUGUCUCCUCGACCGCCGGCCUCCUCCACAGCGAACUCCGGCCGGCCCUGUUUCCUGUAUUUUUUUUACAGAGCAACACUAUGAAAUGUUGUGUGAUUCUACAACAUGAUCAUCGAGGAUGAGAGAGGAUUUAAACUGCCCUGUUUCUAUGACAAUGCUGGUACUCGUGUGCAACCGGAAAGAAACCCUUGUCGCGUACAAGUUUUUCUUGAAGCACAUCGUCAGAUUGAGGAUGCAAACACUCAUGGUCAGCUCCGGGAUGAUCUAGUAGAGCACUAGAGGCAGUUGGUUGGGCGGCGCCAAGGCUCAUGAUCUACCUUUAUUUACUUUUCUAUGUCCUAUUUGAUUCGAACAAUUAUUAUGUAAUAAGGGUUGGGUUUGAGGGUUCUAGUCUUUGCCUCUCUUUUUCAACAGUUGAUGUAUCUUGUCUUGUGGCCGGCGAUCUAGCCGUGUCCUAAUGGAAUGCAUGCGUUUGUUUCAAAAAAAACCUUAAAAGUGUCAAAAAUGAUCAAUUCUCAACCCUUAAAACUGAUUUUAGAUUUAAGGGUUUGAGGGCACUACUAGACAUGCUCUUAAAGCAUCUACAACCGACCCCUCAUGCCUCCCUUCCCUCAAACGGCCCGGACAAUAAGCACGAGUUGAAUCCUCCCCCACCCUCCGCAUCGCUCGCCGCCUCUCCGCGCCCUUCCUCCCUCCUCCUCUCGUCAUCGCUGACGGCAAGGACCAGCGGGCGAAGCCCGGCUGGCCUUGACGGUGUCGGGGCCUUGUUCCCUCUCACAUCGCCCUCCCCCCCCCCGGUUGGCGCAGGAUAGAUCGGGGCAUGCGAAGGUGAUGUGCUGGCGCAAGGCGCGGCGGUGCGGUGACAAAUGCUUCGGGCGGCGACGCGUGGUUGGCGGCGUGACGCCCCGGGCAUGCUCUUGCGGCACGACGACUGCGGGUCUGUGGUGGGCUAUGGAUGGUGGAAAUCCUUGAUGGACUGCGGCAUCCACGAUGCCGAUGGGGCGCUGUCACCCUUGUACUUCUUGGAGUCGGUAUCGAGUCCUUGCCCAUGGCCCCCUCUCCUAUUCCCGGAUGAAAACCCAAAUCCCCUCGGAUUGGGCGAGAACGACGCCUUGGCGUCCUUUCUUCCUGAAGACAUCGCCUUUGGGACAUGUGAGUGGUGGUCACGGCUUUAACGUGGUCGGUUUGCCGGAUUAUUGAGUUGUUCCUCCUUGACAACGUUCCUUAAUCCGUGUGGUUAUGGCACGAUGCGGUGACGUUGACCUUUGCCGGCGUGGUGGCAUGUUGCCAUCCUCUCCCAGUCCAUCCGAGCUCAAGGGCGAGCUCUCGGAUGGUCGGGCAACGGUAUGGGAGUUGACGGAUGUGCUCUUCCUCUGGAGACGGGCUGUUCCAUUAGCGUGAGACUAUCGGGGGCCUCUCCUGGUGUUGUCGGGGUCCUCGAUGUCCUAGCUGCUAGGGUAGUCAGCACUGUUGUUGUUCAGUAGCAUCUUGUAUCCUGUGUCGCCUAUCACUUUUCUUCUUCUUUUUUUUCAGUUGUUUGGUGGUUGUGUGCUCGACUGUUGCUUUUAUAAUAUGAAAAAAGCGCGGGGGGGGGAGGUGGGGGACUUUUUUGUGAAUUUUAGAAACUUUGGUGAAAAAAACCACAUAUUCAAAAAAUGGUGACAAAUUGUAAGAAUUUAACAAAGAUUUAUUUUCAUGCAAAAACAAAGAUUUAUUUUCAUGAAUUUCAAAUGUUUCGAAUUUUUAAAAUUGUCAAUGAAAUUUAAAGUUCAUGAAUUUUAAAAUAUUAAUGAAAUACUCCCUCCGUCCCAAAAUUCUUGUCUUAGAUUUGUUUAGAUAUGAAUGUAUCUAGUCAAGUUUUAGUAUUUAGAUACAUCCAUUUCUCGACAAAGUUAAGACAAGAAUUUUGAGACAGAGGAAGUAAUAAGCAACCAUGAAAAUCAAACAAUCGUGAAAUAUUUUUAUGUGUAAAUUUAAAAAUAUUCAUCAGUUUAUUAUAUUUUCCCAAAAAUUCUAUUAUUUCUAGAUUUAAGGGGAAAAGUUCAUGAAUUAAAAAUCACACAAGAAAUAAAUAAUAAUAAAACUAACAUGAAAAAUGAACAUAAUGAAUAAGAAAACCUAGAAAAUAACAAUAAAAGAAAAUCAAGCACAACAUAAAAAAUGGCUGGAAGGUUCUACUUGUUUCCAAAAACUGGUAAAAGAUAGACUAUAUGGCCUGGCCCAUCUAAAAAGACUAAGACUGUAGGGGGUACAUAGGGAGCAAUUAGUUAGCGAGCACUCUUCCGGGAGCCUUCAAGCGAUCACUCCCGCACGCCGCCACUUGGCGCGUUCUCAGUCGCCGCCUCUUGUCGCGCUCAGAGCGUUCCCUUUGUAUUUUGCUUUUUUAUUUUUUCGCAUGUGUUUUUGGCUUUUUAGAGUGGUUUUUUACGCAGGGUCGUGCCUCUCGGAAAGGAAAAAACACAUUUUAUGUUCUAUUUUUUUCCGUGAAAGGUACGGUUUUGCUUCCGCAAGAGGCACAAUUUUGCUAUCGCGAGUGCCUCUCGGAAAGAGAAAAAAAAACGCCGGUUUUCUCAUGAUUUUUUUUUGUCAAGAUCUAUCAACAUGGAAUCUAGUUUUAAAGAUCUUGACACGAGAAACCCAACUAUGAAAACAGUUCAAGAUUCGAACGCACGGUUUAGAAGAUAAAAUAUUUUAAAAAUAUGAAUGUACGAAAAAAAAACCUCCAGUAUUACAAUAAGUGAAACACAUAUUAUAUGUCAGUUGUCACAAUAUAUAAAGGCAAAAGUAAUCGUUAGAAGGUAUACUUUUCAACUAGCGAUUUCAAGGUACGCAUUGCGUUCCUAAUAGACGCAACACACGGCGACAAUAUCUCGCUUAGCGUGAGUGCUUCUUCCCUCUAGCCAAAAGUUUCCCUCUCAUGUGUAGCUACUGGGCCAAUACAUAUUUUCUAUUAUUCUCUUCGUAUUUUUGAGUAUAUAUCUAAUACGUUUUUCUAAUACACCUCAACAUUUUUUAAAUAUAAGUUGAACAUGUUUUCAAUAGGUGGUCAACUGUUUUUCCAUAUAGAUUUUUCGAAUAAUUUAUUAUCAUUCUCAUUUUCGCAAAGGUGAAUUGGACAGUGUGAAAUUCGAGACGAUGGUCGCUGCCAGGAUUAAUUGUACAUGCGGUGAGAUAACACCAUUGUACAUGCCGUAAGAUAGCACCGCUCGGUCCGGUCUUUAGCGGACCGAAAGCCUGGCCAAAAGCCCGCUCGCCACGUCCAACCCUAAUCGCAGUCUUGCUCUUGGUUUUUUUUAGGGGUCCUGAAUCGCAGUCCUAUUUGUGCACCCAAAAGCUGGGCCACCAGGGAAGCUAGAGGCCAGAGCUGCACCCCUAGAGCGGAGGGUAGUGGGGCUGCAUCGUCCGCCAUCAAGCAUGGCAGCGCACUCCCGUACCUACUGCCCGUCUUUCAUGCACUCGGGACCGUGAGAUGAACCAACGCCUUCGUCGGCUCUUCGGAGCUCCUCGGUUAUUAGAACAAAGGAAGAUGAACCAACGCCUAUAUUAAUUAAAAUUGUGUGAGAGUUUCAAAAAAAAAUUUGUCUGCCAAUUAAGGACACAUAAUUCCUGUCCUCACAAAGAUUUGCGUUUUCAGCUGUCCGUUUUCAUGUUCUGGACGUUCGGAUCCCUGUGUAUACCCACCUCUCCCGCACUAGCCCAACUGUCCUGUGGGCUGCUGCUCCAGUGGCCGAAAGGAAGACUUCUGCUAAAAUGGGCCACUGAUGAGCCCAUUAUCUAACCGAGGGUCACUCGUGCUUGUAAAAAACAAAUCCUCCCUCGAGGUGAUCCAAGCGGCGCUCAAUAAGGAGGAGAGGAGUAGGAGGAUUGAAGCGGCGCUCGAGGGGAUCGAUCCUAUCGCGCGCUCUGCGGAAAGGGAGAGGAGCGGAUCGAGCGGCCCCUUGCGCAGCGGGGUGUUGCCGUCGACGAACCAAAAGCUGUGGUUGCGACACUUCCUCUAGAGCCAGCAGUCCACCACAACCUGCACCAGCCCUGCUCGGCGAGUCUGAGCGAUGAAGGCACCCCGGCGGCGGGUACACAUCAGACACGCAUGAGGAGUCAGCUGAAUGACCGCAUCAAGGAGUUUGCGAGAUUGAAAUUUAGCACUACACCUUUUUUCGGGGUGAAAGAUAGCAGCACAGGGAAGAGGGUCCAGGUGAGAGACAGUGGGUUCCUCGUUUCAUCUUCCACCCAGAUUACAUUGUUUUAAUGCAUGGUCAAUAUUUUUCCUAUACACAUUUAACAUUUUGAAAAUGUUUACUUAAUCUUUUGUUUUCAAAUGCAAGAGUAACACUUUUUGAAUAGAUUGGUAACAUUUAUUACAUACAUAUUUAUAAUUUUCAAAUGCUUUAUUAAUAUUUUUUGAAUACUUGUUUAGCAUUUGUUUUCAAAUUCUUGAUUUAUUUAAAUAAAAAUACAAGAUAAAAAAUGUCAUACAUGUUGUAUUUGUUUUGUGUAUGUCAGAAAUAAAUUGUAUACACACAUAAAACAUUUUUAAAAUGCCAUGCUUGAUUAACAUUUUAUUUCAAAGAAAUUAUGGAAAAAAAUUGUAAUAUAUUUAUUUAGAAUAUUUAAAAGUAUAAGGAAAAAUAAAAAAAUCAAGUAAUAAAUAAAAAGUAGAAAACAUGAGAAAAACGAGGCUAUGACCUCCCAUGCGACUGGGCCAACCCAAGUUGUGACUCGCUUCAAACGAGGCUUCCAUAUGUCAUGUGAAGCAGACAUAGUGGCGCCCGAUGCAACAGGCAUCACAUGUCUCACGUGAAGCCGGCAUAGUGGCGCCCGAUGCAAAAUACAUCAAAUAGGGUUCAUCGCUGGGUUUGUUUUGGAGAUAUAAUGAUUUCCUGCUUAAAAAGGAAUCCUGUACGUUUUUAGCCAGAGUGAUUUGUAUCUUAUUUUCUUAUUUUUUACCAAUUUCGUAGAGGUGAAAACUGUCCGAUUGAAAAAAAAAUUACGAUAGGCAUUUCUCCAUGCCUCGGGCUUCGGAAGUACUAAUGUGCUAGCAUAAAAGUUUACACUGGAAAAGUAUGCACCGAAGGAACGGACAGUUAUACUUACUUGAGAGGAAUAUUUCUUCCCAGUCAUGCACAGUUGCAUUUUCUAACUAGUUGAUUAAAUAUUCUCUAGUGUGGUAGUGGUAACUGGGAACGUGAUUGUUGCUACAAUGAAAGGAAGAAAAUCAAACACCCUUUAGAGCAAUGGAUGCAGCUCAAGCGGUAGCCUGUCUGAAAGGAUUAAUUGUUAGAUAUUCUGCCUAGAUGCGAUUGUAAAAUACUCCCUCCGUCCGAAAAUAGUUGUCUUCGAAAUGAAUGUAUCUAGACUUAUUUUAGUUAUAGAUACAUCCAUUUUAUUUAUUUCUAGGACAAGUAUUUCCGGACGGAGGGAGUAGAAGUAAACUGACGCGCGCUGAUGCCGACCACGAUCAGCUAUUGCCGCAGAAGCUGUUUGGAUUGCGCAGUUUCAGAUUAGUCGGUGGUUUCAGAGCUAGACCCACGUACAUCUUCAUCGGCAGAGCACAGCAGGGCAUAUAUAUAGCUCUCUGGCUUGGGUUGGAUGUGGCACUUUGGGUCAGUCAACUCAUACUCAUACUCAUACUCAUACUCAUACAUGUCCCGGUGUCAUGUCUUGUCCUGGUGAUGCUACCCGCUGCUGCUGCCAGCUUCUCGCAGCCUGACUAUGACGAGCUGAGGAACCUUUAAUUAUCCCGAUCAACCCUUAUACAUACAUAGUGAAAGCAGAGUGGGCAAGUUGUCGGUACCUGUCCCGUUUCCUAAUACAUACUCCCUUCGUCCCAUAAUACUAUAAAACGUUUUUAACACUACACACUAAUUGAGUACUUAGCAGCUUACAUCAUCAACUCAAUCCAAGAAAAUACCACUAUAUAAAAGGGAGGGACCUAAUAAUACGCACAUACAUGAAUACUCUAUUAAAAUAGACGAAAAAGGAAGUUGAAUACAGCUAGUGAUUUCAACUCCUCAGAACGGACUUGUUUUCAAUCUCCGCGAGCUGGCCUUGCAGGUGCUCCUCAAACUCGGUGUACCUACCCCAAUAGGACACAUCCAACAUAAAUUCCUUGAGGUUUUUGAGACAUGCUAACCCCGAGAACAACCCAACACUGGGACUGUCCCAACCACAAUACUGCAGCAGCUCAAGCUUAGGGGCCGCUCCGUCUUCAAAUCCCACCGACUUGAGGUUUCCUAUCCUAUGCAGCUGCAGCACCUUCAGGCUCGGGAAUGCAUCCACACAGAAACUGAAACGGACCUCUUCACCAACGAACGACUCACGCAAUAGACGUAGGGUGGCCAGGUUUGGUAGACUCCCAAGGACAUGUAUGGCUGCAUCAUGCUCCGAUAUCCUCGACCUCAAUAGCUUCAGCUUCACUA